CAGGGGCCAGGGGGUCUGGUUUUAUAGUCCCUUCAAGUGAAUCUGGGCCAUUGGAUCAAACCGACAUUGAUCGUGUGGUUUUCCUUGAUCCUUUAAGUCGGUGGAGCAAUAUCCCGAAAGAGAGUCCUGAUUGGACUCUGGUUGAGGGCGGGCGCCCAGGAAAGGUGGGCGGGCGCCCUGUCCCUGAGUCCUCUCGGCCUCCGCUUCCUUCCCGUGGCUUCUGGAGUCUUCUAGAUGGUAGAAAAUUGCGCAGGACGUUAAUAUCUCUAUGUAAACCCGACGUGUGGGUCUUUCUUCCGUAUUUCCUGAUAACCCCCUGCAGAAAUAGACAAACACCAAAACUCAUGGAAUUCUGUCAGAUAAAACCCUAAGUCUAGGUGUUGGUUGCAUAUAGAUCAUUUUCCAUGAUUAGUUGAUGGUUAAAUGUGAGCAUUAAGGACCGUCAACAAGCUCCCCCAAGCUUAACCUUUGCUCGUCCCUGAGCAAAGAUGAACUCAAGAGUUUCUGCAGUGGUUUCAUAACUCAAAGAUACACAUGCGUUUAAACAAGAUCUCAUCUCUGGUUAGAGUAAACUGUUAAGACUUAAAACUUACUCAUUUACCUUUCACCAUGGGACUUGUAACCGUCACUUCUGUCUUGAGUAGUUAAAAGAUAGAACGGUCUAGUCAAGCACCAUGUCUCUUAUUCUUGAUCAGCUAUAGCUCUAUAGUUUUUUGCAGAUUUUCAAAUAAAACUCAGAGAUUCCUUGUAUGACUCUCUCUAGUCUCUCUUUUGUGGUAUUUCUGGAUCCUUACCAAGGCAUUAAUGGUGUAUGCCUUCUCUCAAAGUAUGUGGUAUUUGUGGUAUAAGGCAUAGUGGCAUUGCCUUCUCUCUCACCCUACUCUAAUAAGGCUUUUGAUAUCUGGAGCUCAUAGGUGGGAGACAGCUAAUACAUACUUACAAGACAUUUAUUGCAUAGUCAAACCAUGGAUCCAGAAGAACAAGUCAAUAAGUCAAAUCAAGAUGUGCAUGUGUGGCGAAUGUAUGGUGUUUGGUGAUGAUGGUGAUAACAAUGGUGAAAGUCUAAUUCUACUUAUGCUCUUUUGAGGGGAUACAUACCUUUCUUGCUCUUUUGGAACUUUUUGAGGAGAAUGAGAUGCUCUAUAUUUUCUUUUUCUUUCCUCUCAGGUGGGUAUCUUGUACCCCUAAUUCUACUGUCGGACACUUGUCCAUUUUUACCUCUCGUCUCACUUCUUUUUUUUUCUUCUUUUUUUCCAAGGUUCCGGGCACUUGCCCCUUUUUAUUUCCUCGUAUUCUUUCUCUUUUUUUUUCUUUUUUUAGAGCACUCAUCUCAUGAGAUAAUGUAGCAAGUGGUAGUAACAAGAUAACUUGAGCAUUUAUUUCACAGGGGAAAACAGAAAUGUUUUUGGCUAUUCUCUCCCGGAUUAGGAGUAGAAUAUUUUUAGGUGAUUCUAGAGAUGGAAAUGGGUGGAUAUAUGUGGAUGGUACUUCUGGAGUAGAAGUAGCAUGUGUGAGUGAACGUACAAGUGAAUCUUGAUUUAACCACAUGACAAGCUCCUAAGGGUCUACACAGCUUGACCACACUGAAUGCUCAUAAGCAGUAAAAAGUAAAUGUGUGGCUCAAUGUCUAGCAAGCAUGUAUAUAUGGCUGUGGUAGGAAUUUAAACUCUCGUCAUACAGGAACUCAUCAUGCAACAUUUUAAAGAUUUUCAAAGAUAAAAUUCUCCAGAAUUCUAGCAUCUCUAGGAACAGAUAAACAGCAGCUCAACCUUUCCAUAUCAUAUCCGUUAACGACUUAGACUUUAGAUCAAGUACUCUUCCCACAAGUUCAGGUUUAGAGCAAAUCUUAAUUAAUAACAGUGAUGCCUAAACUUGAGAGAGAUUUCAAUUUUGAGAACUAGUCAUGGCAGAGCAACUAUUCAUCUUUCCAUGUGAGAGCUUAUCAUGAGGGUUCAUAGCAAAUUUUAUUUAUUUAUUUAUUUAGCAAACUAAGCAAAGAUAUAUAUAUAAGCACAAAAUCUUUAUUUGGGUUUUUAUGAUUAUGCAUCUUUUUAUUAUUAGAGUAAAGUAUAAACGUGAGUGGAAUACUUAGCUGGAUAAAUGGGGGUGCUCUCCCCCAAGCUGGAUUUUGACGUAAUUUCUUCUGAUAUAGCUAGUAGGUGGUGGAGGUGUAUUUGAAUGUCAGCAGCACCCUGACAGUGAUUAGGAUGUCCUCCAUGUGCUAGUUUUCUUUGAUCCUUGAAUUUUGUGGAGCUCAAAUAGACAACAAAGCUUUGUGGAACUAGUUAAGUGUUAGCAUAAAUAUCUAGCCUUUAUCAUGUUGAGCUUCCUCAAUAAAUAUUACUCUCUUUAGUAGGAUCAUAAAUUUAUUUUUAUAAUUUAAUUUUUUAUAGGACAGGAAUAUACUUAUUUUAUUUUUACGCCACCACAGUGAAUGUACUUAUGGGUUUUAUGCCAUGAGCAUACUCACAUGGGGCUUACUAUUUUUAACAUUUUAUUUUCUUUUCAAGAUGAUAUGAACCUGAUUAACUAAGCAAACUAUUUUAAAUAGUUGAAAGGAAAAAGAUAACUACCAAGUUUACCUCUUGGCAAGGCGUUCGGUGUUUUUAAGUCAUCCGAACGGGACUCUCCAUUUUCUCAGUUGUCUUGGGCUUCGCUGGAUGGCGUAGUCGGUGGUUCCGGUGGAGCCUGCUCUUCAUGUAUAACUAUCUUUUUUUUCUCCACACCUGACUCGAUGCUACGGUCUCCUCAGGACAGUUCUGUUCAAGUUGUAUGUCUUCAGACCUUACCACUUCUCCUUCAUAGUCCGCCCAUCCAUCCUUGAUGAUUUGCCUUCUCUGGUUGCGGUUGCGUCAUCUUCUUCUUGUCCUGACCUGCAUAGCGUCUUCAACUAUAUAGUUAAGGUCAGUAAAAUAGCGGCGUACCUUCUCAGAGGGGAAGUUCAUGAGGACUUCUCCGGUUCCAAUGUAGAUGAUUGCUUUAACGGUGCUGAGGAACUGUCUUCCAAGGAUGAUGGGUGGAUCGUACUCGUCUUCUCCCAUGUUGAUAACCUUUUGGAAUGUCUGAUCUGCCAUCUGGAGCUGAAUGUAUGUCGGUUUUAGGGGCAUGGUUCCGAACAGGAACUGAUAGGUGACUGCGGCUAUUAUGUUGACGCCUGACCUGGUGUCACAAAGCAUCUUUUGGAAGUUAUAUCCAUUAAUGGAGCACUGGAUGCUUGGCAUACUUGGGUCGUCCUUUUUGGUCAGGAACAGUGACUUAAGUCGACGGGCUUGUCCUCCUUGAACUGUAGUGACCAUCUUAGCUGACUUGGUCCACACUUGCUUGUUCCUGUUCCUCCGAUUGGUCCUCUUCCUUGGUUCAUGUCGGGAUUGCUCUGAGACUUGUGUAGUCUUGUUCUUGAAGGAAAACGUCUCCUUCCUGCCCUCGAUGUAGAAACUGAUCUUGGCAGCACUAGCGUAGAUGACAGCUCCUGAGGUGUUCAGGAAUGGCCUCCCUAGGAUGAUGGGUGCCCUCUCAUCAAUACCAGUCUCUAUCACCACGAAGUCUGCUGGGGCGUACAAGGUACCAACUUGGACACAGAGGUUCUUCAAUAUUCCCUUUGGGAAACUUAGCGUACGAUCUGCAAGCUGCAAACACAUGGCUGUUUCUAAUAAAGGAUGUGUAAAUAAUUUUUCAUAGAGUACCCUGGGCGUAAUGUUGACACUGGAGCCAAAGUCGCAGAGUGCUUCUAGGAAGUCCACCAUGCCGAUGGAGAUCGGGAUGACGGGGCGUCUUGGAUCGUCUCUCUUGACCGGCAGAAGGUCAGUGAUUACUUCCACAACGGGGUUACUCCAGUAGUUACGUCCUCAAGAAUCUCAGGGUAGUGAUUGCCUGAGUGUCCAGUAUCUCCAGUGUGUUUGUGCUCGUAGAUCUAGGUUCUUCACUUGGUGGAGUCUGGGAGUUGUAAAAGUCCUUCAUAUUUUGCUCGAAGUGUACCUGCUCAUAGAGACAAGGCAGAGAUCAAGUGUAUGGGCCCUGUUGGUGGAAAACACCAACAGAACCAAAAGUGUAUUUGUUCUUCUCUAACCUUAAGCAUAGUGAGCAAGACAAAGUUAAUGGAUAAUAAAAUCAUGAGUGUAGCAUUUAAAACAUUUGUCAGAUCAGAUCGCUCAACCUAAUGGAAAGAUAAUCUAUCUAUAUUUAUGUUGUUUUUUUUUAUAAAAUAUAUCCUCCAAAGAUUGAGUGUGCAACAUUUUAGCUCAUAAGAUUAGGAGUGUGGGAUCACAAAGGUGGAAGGACUAAACAUGUUGAAUCGAUUGGGUUGGUUAAUCUAUAGUGGUAAAUCAUACGUGUAUGUCUCUUUUAUUCAUGUGAACGCCAGAACAAAGGAGAAGCUUAUAAAAGUGAUAGUCAAAUACCUUAAGAUGUUACCUUACUUGAAGAGUGAUGGUACGGUAUCUCCUUGUGGAAGAUUUCCUUUCUUAGCGGUUGUGCAUCGUGUUUGUAGCACCCUCCAUGGAUCAUCUCUUGUGAGCUAUGUCUUCCUUGUGUAAAUUGUUAAACUUCAUGUGCCUCUCUCUUUGUCAAAAAUGUGAGUGUAUCUCAGGACUUCCCAGGUCGAUAGUGAAAGUUUUCCUGCAGGGGUUAGUCCAACAAAAUAUCCCAUAUCUACUAUAGCAUACUAUCGGCCCACAAAUCAACCUAGACACCAUGUCUAAUUUGAUUUAGGAGGGCUUUUUUAACCUAAGCACCAUGCUUAAUUUAAAACCCCUUGGAAGUAAGAUCAUCAUUCCUAAACUAAGCACCAAGCUCAAUUAAGAGAUAAAUGAAACUACUCCAAACCUAGACAUAUACUAAAGCAAAUAAAGGUAGCAUGAGAGCAUUUAUAGAGAUCUACUCAAGUGGAGAUGAAGUAGUGUGAUUAGUAUUUAACAAAUUGAGCAUGUCUCAAAGGUAGGGACAACCAACAUAGCAACAUAGCAAAGGAUGUUUUUAUGUAAAGUACUCCCCCAAGCUUGAAUUUUGCAAAAUUCAAGUUUGGAUGAAUUUAUUUCAAUGUUGUAAGAUGAUUGGUUGGACAUACCUUGUGCUUGUCAUUCAUCCGAUCUUCUUGCUCCAAUCCUGGAAAGGUUAGUGACAAGAAUACCCGAAGGGAUAUUUUUUUUCAAUUGUCCUUAUAUGGUCAACACACAAGGUAAUGUUGCAAAUAAUUAAAAGAUCAUGUUAUGAUCUGAUCAGUGCUUGUUUUAGGACACUAAGCUUGUCCUUGGGAAACCAUCAAUUUAUGUCUGCGAAGUGGUUUCCCCUCCAACGCUGACCUAUAUCAAGAUCAACUCAACGAGAUCUGCAAUAUUUAAUAUAGACAUAUGCAUCGACAACCGCUCUUUUAAAGUUUUUAUAAAUAGAAAGGAAGUGGGGGUUGGAGAUCUCGAAUGUGGUGAUGUUGGAGAGACCAAUGGAUUGUGAAGAUGUUGCAUAUGGGCAUGGAGUAAAUGAAGUGGCUAUGAAAUAAAUUCCAUGCUCAUUAAUGCUUAGAGUGAAAUCCAUGUGGUAUGGUGAAAAUGAUAAGGUGAGUGUGGUAAAAAAGGAAAAGAAAAAGGAUACACGGACGACUUGGUUCGAAACUAGCACGGCUACCGUUCCCCGGCAACGGUGCCAGAAAGCUUGUUGGGUAUUUUAAACGCAAACAGAAAAAUCCGCAAGCGCACGGAUACCGAUGUAGCUUUCACCCGGGAGUAUUCCAAAGUAUCGAUUUUCCACAAAGAACGUGAGUGUACUAAUUAAGAUCCAAGAUCGCCCAAGGAUAACUAUAUAAUUAUUUUUGGUGGAAAGAGAGGAAGUUUCCUGAGAGUUCUCUAGUUGAUCUAAGAAUCAAGGAUUACUUCAAGAUUAUCUAUAUCGGGACAUCAGAGCACUAACCACAGAAAGAGAUGAGAAGGGGGCUAGGAAGGUCUGACUACGGUCCUACAAACACCGAUCCGAACGUGGUGGAAUACGUCGACCGUUAGGGCUGUCACUACCCUAAGGCUACCACAACAAUCCGCAGGAUUGGGUGCAAUUCCAGGUAAUCGCAAGACUAAACACCAUGUCUAAUCUAUUAAUUACUACUCUAGCGUUAUAAAGACUAGAGCAUUUGAUGCAAGCGGGAAUCCAAUAAAUAACUUGAAUGUAAAUAAAAGUAAUUAGAGAACUCAGGAGUUAUGAAUUGAAGAACCUGGAGAACGAUGAAGAACGAACCAGUUGCUGCAAAAGUACAAUGUUGAGGAAGAUCCGACAGAUCCGGCUCUUCCUCCGCUCUCCUCUUCUCUCUCCCUAUUUUCUAGAUUACAACUAGAACUAACUAGAACUAGAACUAGAGGAACUAGAACUAGAACUAGAUGAACUAGAACUAGAUCUAGAUGAACUAGAGGUAGAACUAGAAGAACUAGAGGGAUCCUCUCUACUUGGAUGAAGAAUUGAAACCCUAACUUUGAUUCUGUAGAAGAGGUAUGAUCUCCAGGGGCCAGGGGGGUCUGGUUUUAUAGUCCCUUCAAGUGAAUCUGGGCCAUUGGAUCAAACCGACAUUGAUCGUGUGGUUUUCCUUGAUCCUUUAAGUCGGUGGAGCAAUAUCCCGAAAGAGAGUCCUGAUUGGACUCUGGCUGAGGGCGGGCGCCCAGGAAAGGUGGGCGGGCGCCCUGUCCCUGAGUCCUCUCGGCCUCCGCUUCCUUCCCGUGGCUUCUGGAGUCUUCUAGAUGGUAGAAAAUUGCACAGCACGUUAAUAUCUCUAUGUAAACCCGACGUGUGGGCCUUUCUUCCGUAUUUCCUGAUAACCCCCUGCAGAAAUAGACAAACACCAAAACUCGUGGAAUUCUGUCAGAUAAAACCCUAAGUCUAGGUGUUGGUUGCAUAUAGAUCCUUUUCCAUGAUUAGUUGAUGGUUAAAUGUGAGCAUUAAGGACCGUCAACACUCACCAUUCUUCCAAUUCUCAUAGUUGCAUUCUUCUAUAAUCUCCAGCAACAUCUAGGUUCAUAUUCCAUGUCUUUAUGGCCCAGUGUGCUUUGAACUCUAGUUCAACAGGUAGGUGGCAAGUCUUCCCGUACACCAAUUGGUAUGGAGACAUUCCAAUUGGAGUCCUGUAUGCUGUCCGGUAUGCCCAGAGUGCAUCGGGUAACUUGUCUUUCCAUGCCGUUCCCAUUUCAUUUACUGUCUUCUAAAGAAUAUUCUUGAUUUGUUUGUUGGAACUCUCUGCUUGGCCACUUGUCUGAGGAUGAUAGGGGGUAGCGACGUUGUGACGGAUUCCAUGUUUUGAUAGAUAUUGCUUGAAGCGUUUAUCGAUGAAGUGUGCUCCUCCAUCACUUAUCACUACUCUGGGAACUCCAAAUCUUGGAAAUAUAAUUCUUCAAACAUCCUCUUUGAACUGAUGUUGUCAGCAUGCUUGCAAGGUAAUGCCUCUACCCACUUGGAGACGUAGUCAACUGCCACCAAGAUGUACUCACACUUCUUUGAUGGAGGAAAUGGACCCAUAUAGUCUAUUCCCCAGACAUCAAAGAGCUCAAUCUGAAGGUUGUUGGUGAGUGGCAUUGCAUCCCUUGUAUUUAUGUUUCCGUGACUUUGACAUGGCCCAUAUCUUCUGAUAUAUUGCUUCGUGUCUUCAUACAUUGUAGGCCAGUAGAAUCCACACUGCUAGAUCUUUGAAUGUGUAUGGAAUGCUCCAUAGUGACCUCCAUAUGGUGAUGAAUGACAUCUGUCGAUGAUCUUCCAUCCUUCCUUAGUGGUGACACAUCUCCUGAGUAAGCCAUCAGAGCAUACUCGGAAGAGGUAUGGCUCAUCCCAUAUAUGUGAACGACAUUCUUGAAUAAGCUUCUUCUUGUUUGCUCCUGGCGGUACAUACCCUGAAACCAUAAAAUUAACAAUAUCUGCAUACCAGGGGUCAGACCUGUUAAUCCCGUAGAGCAUGUCAUCCCGGAGUGAAUCAUUGAUGGUGGUUUCCUGUGGAUUCUUAAAAUACAUUCUAGACAAGUGAUCUACAACAAAAUUUUCUACUCCCUUUUUAUCUUUUAUUUCUAAGUCAAAUUCUUGGAGUAAGAAGAUCCAUCUAAUCAGGCGAGGUUUAGCAUCUUUUUAGUGAGCAAAUAUUUUAGUGCAGCAUGAUCAGUGUAAACAAUUAUUUUAGCUCCAACUAAAUAAGAUCUAAAUUUAUCAAUGGCAAAGACAACAGCCAGAAGCACUUUUUCAGUGGUUGCAUAGUUAAGUUGAGCUCCUGUCAAAGUUUUACUGGCAUAAGCAAUUGCAUGAUGCUUCUUAUUUUUAGUUUGUCCCAAAACUGCCCCCACAGCAUAAUCACUAGCAUCACACAUAAUUUCAAAAGGCAACGACCUAUCAGGGGGUUGAAUGAUUGGUGCAGAGAUGAGUGCUUUCUUUAAUAAAUUGAAAGAUGUUAGACAUGCAUCAUCAAAUUCGAAAGGAGCAUCCUUGGCUAGCAAAAGAGUAAGUGGUCUAGCAAUGAAUGAAAAACCUUUUAUGAAUCUACGAUAAAAACCAGCAUGGCCAAGAAAGCUUCGAAUUCCUUUUAUAUUCACAGGUGGAGGUAGUUGUUCAAUUACUUCAAUUUUAGCUUUGUCUACCUCAAUACCUCUUUCAGACACUAGGUGUCCCAGCACUAUUCCUUCCCUAAACAUGAAAUGACAUUUUUCCCAAUUUAGGACUAAGUGGUUUUCUUCACAUCUUUGCAAAACCUUGUCUAUGUUUUCAAGACAACUAUCAAAAGUUUUUCCAUAUACAGAGAAAUCAUCCAUGAAAACUUCCAUAAUCUCUUCAAUCAUAUCAGAAAAUAUAGACAUCAUGCAUCUUUGAAAAGAAGCUGGUGCAUUACAUAACCUAAAAGACAUUCUUCGGUAAGCAUAAGUUCCAUAUGGGUAUGUAAAAGUGGUUUUGCUUUGAUCAUCAGGAUGGAUCGGGAUCUGAUGAUACUCUGAAUAUCCAUCUAAGAAACAGAAGAACGAAUGGUUCGCUAAUCGCUCUAGCAUCUCAUCUAUGAAAGGUAAAGGAAAAUGAUCCUUUCUUGUGGCUUUGUUCAGUUUUCUAUAAUCUAUGCACAUCCGCCAUCCUUUGACGGUGCGUUGCGGAAUUAGCUCGUUCUUUUCAUUCAUAAUAAUAGUCAUGCCUCCCUUUUUAGGCACAACUUGUACUGGGCUCACCCACUCACUAUGCGGCACAGGAUAUAUAAUCCCUGCAUCCAGCAACUUUAUAACUUCCUUUUUAACUACCUCUCUCGUAGUGUUGUUAAGUCUACGUUGGGGUUCUCGAGAAGGUGAAACAGAAGGAUCUGUCGAAAUACGAAGGGUACAAAUCAUAUGACUGAUUCCUGUAAGAUCUUGGAGUGAGUAGCCAAAAACUGAGUGAUGUUUCUCAAGAAUGGUCAUUAAUCGCAGAGUUUGCUCCUGAGUGAGUUUAUUACUAAUGAUCAUGGAAACUCUGGAUUAUUGUUUAGGAAAGCAUAGAUUAGACCGGGUGGUAAAGUUUUAAGCUCUAUGGGAGGUCUAGGUGUUUCUGCAAACUCAUCUAAGGGUUCAGGUUCAGAAGGUUCGGCCUCCUCUUCUGUGAAGAAAGGAGCUUCUUCUUCUAAGUCUGAUUCAUCUAAAAGCUCUAGAGAUGCAGCCUUUACCUCCUCCAUAGGAUCAGGCAAAAGAUAUGACUCAGCCUUAUUGUUUAAGGAAUGUGAAAUUGUUAUUGGGAUUUUAAAGGUUUUCCCAAAAGAAAUGUGUAGCUUUCCAGUAUGACCUUCAUAAAGGAGUCUUCUAAAAGGUUGUCCUAUCAACAGGUCAAAGUCCCGUGUAUCAAAGAUAUAGAAGUUCAAAUGAACCAUGGAGACUUCUACCGUAAGAGGUAGGACAUUAAUAAUUCCAAGACUGGGGACUAAUCGUCCUGAAGAUUCCUUUAUGACCUUUGUUGUGGGGGUUAAGACAAGAUUUUUAAAUAGUUUAAGUGCAAAAGAUUUAGACAUGAUGUUGAUCCCCACAACAGGAUUAUAGAGAGCAUCAAAUCGAUCAGAAUUAUAAGCACAACGUAUAGUUAUAGAAGGUGUGUCCAAACGGAUCACAUCAGAGGAAAGCUCUGAUUCCUCCAACCACUCGCUACUCAUGACUGAGAUACGCUCUCUUAAUUGAUAUUAACUUGGCAAACAAAUGCUAAGAUGGCUGUUUUGGGGUAUGUUAGUAGAAUGGUAGUUUUAAAUGUUUCCAAAAUCGGCAAAAAGAUCAGAUUCUAUAUCCAGCAUGAAGUCCGGUGGUGGAAUUUCUUCCUCUUGUGGCUCAGAACUUGGGAUAGCUAAAGUAGAUGAAGAAUUUGGCAGAGUGUCUACUUCGGCUUCGUAGGUUUCAUCAUGAAGGGUAUUAUCCAUCUCAGCUUCUAGGAUUCUAUCUAAGAUCACUAUAGCUUCAUCACUAGGGAUACGAAAGAAAGAACCUCUAGACAUUGCAUGUAGCAUUUGUUUAUGAUUUUUCUGAAGACCUCGAAAAAAGUAAAAUAAAAGAACAGGGUCUUCAAGAUUAAGGUUUGGACUAGAUUCUAAAAGAUCAGAAAAAUGUUUCCAGGAUUUUCCCAAAGUUUCAUUAUCUUUUUGUUUAAAAGAUAUGACUUCGAGUCUAUGGUCGCCGAUACGGUCAAGGGAAUAAAAAUCUAGACAAAAGUUGGCUCGUAAAACUCCCCAUACACCUCGUUGUUGACUUACCUUCUGACUGUACCAUUGUCUAGCUUCUCCCCUUAUGGAAAAAGGAAAAAGCUUCCAACGUAAAGUUUUAUCAGAAAUGCCUUCAAUGCGAAGACAAUCACAUGUUUGCUCAAAAUCUCUAAUAUGAAGGUAAGGGUUUUCGUCUUCCUUUCCCGAAAAAGAUAGGUUUUGAAUCAUGGCAAUCAACCUAGAACUUAACCUAUACUGGGAUGUUUGGAUAGGCUGUGAUGACUCCCAUGGUAAAAGGUCAGUUUCCGAAGGUGUUGCAAAUUGGUAGAUUGAUUUAGAAUCUUGGUUUUCCAUAAGGUAAGAGUAAAGAAAAUAAAUACAGAAUAUAAAAGAUAAGAAAAGAUAAAAGUAUAGAUACAAGCCAGUAGUAAGACUCAAGGUUAUCUCAGCAAACCAUCUUUCUCCCCGGCAACGGCGCCAGAAAUGCUUGUUGAUAUUUGGGAACGCAAUAAGGAAUUGAUCCGCAAGUGCACUGAUAUCGGUGAGCACUUCACCCGGGAGAUUAUCCAGAGUAUCGUAUUUAUUUUUUUACCACUAGGAGAAAGAGUGCAUCUGACUAACCCGAUCUAUUACUACUAACCCUUUAGGCAACAAAGAAUGUUUCUCGAUGUGAGUGAUAAAUAGAGAAGACUACAACCGUAAUCUCCUUCUAACCUUGGUAAGGAUGAUCUACUGUUCUAUUGGGGAGGCUAACGGAAUCUAGACACCACAGAGGAUGUUCAACCCGCACCUAUAAACCCUAUCCUUCCUGCUAACGAGAUAUGGUCUGCAAAGGUAACUUGGAAUUGUCACGUUCCUCGCUACUACCACGGUCUAGCUAGUCAGGGAAUAUCUAUGAGUAUCCUAGCCUAAACACCACGUCUACGCUAGAGAUGAUUACUCUAAACUCUACAUGAAGAGAUUAAAGUAAACUCAUGAACCAAAAGAACAAUAAAACAAGAACUUACUAGAAUUUAGAAGUCGAAAUACUGAAGAAUCCUAGGAGCAAGCCUCGGGUUAGGAGAACUUGAUCCCGCAGGUACAAAGUUGGAGUAGACACCGACAGGCCGGGCUUCCUCCGAUCUACACCUCCACUCUAUCUCUCUCAAUCUAGUAGAAACUAGAAGAUAUAUUUCUACUCACAUUGGUUGCUAAGCCUAAAAAGAAAUUUUGUUUAGAGGAGAGGUAUUCCUUCGAGGGCUCCUCUCAACUCUAUGAGAAACUUGUCUCCUCCAGGGGCCAGGGGGUCUGGGUUUAUAGUCCCCUCAAGUGAACGUGAGUCGUUGGAUCAAACCGACAUUGAUUGGACGAUUAUCCUUGAUCCUUUAGGUCGGUGGAGCGUCGUCCGCGAAAAGAGUCCCGAACCAAGUCCAGGAGGGGGCGGGCGCCCAGGUCAACUGGGCGGGCGCCCAGUGCCUGGCCUCGUUCGGCCUCUACUUCCUUCCCAUGGCUUCUGGAGUCAUCUAGAUGGUAGACAAUUGCGCGGUGCGUUGUUAUCUCUAUGUUAUCCCGACAUGUGGGCCUUUCUUCCUUAUUUCCUGAUAACCCCCUGCAGAAACCGAUAAACAACAAAACUCGUAGAAUUCUGUCAGAUCAAACCCUAAUUCUAGGUGUUGGUUGCAUAUUGGUCCUUUCUCUUGUUUGUUUGAUAAUUAAAAUUGAUACUUAAGAACCGUCAACACCAACCAAAAAUAUUCUACUCCUAAUCCGGGAGAGAAUAGCCAAAAAUAUUUCUGUUUUUCCCUUGUGAAAUAAAUGCUCAAGUUAUCUUGUUACUACUACUUGCUAUAUUAUCUCAAGAGAUGAGUGCUCUAAAAAACAGAAAAAAAAGAAAAAAAGAGAUACGAGGAAAUAAAAAGUGGCAAGUGCCCGAAACCUCGAAAGAAAAGAAAAAGUGAGACAAGAGGUAAAAAUGGACAAGUGUUCGACAGUAGAAUUAGGGGUACAAGAUACCCACCAGAGAGGAAAGAAAAAAUAGAGCAUCUCAUUCUCCUCACAAAGUUUCAAAAAGCAAGAAAGGUAUGUGUCCCCUCAAAAGAGCAAAAGUAGAAUUAGACUUUCACCAUUGUUAUCACCAUCAUCACCAUACGCCAUUCAUUCGCCACACAUGCACAUCUUGAUUUGACUUAUUGAUUUGUUUCUUUGGAUCCAUGGUUUGACUAUACAAUAAAUGUCUUGUGAGUAUGUAUACUUUAUCUCUCACCUAUGAGCUCCAGAUAUUAAAAUCCUUAUUAGAGUAGGGUGAGAGAGAAGGCAAUGUCACUAUGCCUUAUACCACAAAUACUACAUAUUUUGAGAGAAGGCAUAUACCAUCACUGCCUUGGUAAGGAUCCAGAAAUACCACAAAAGAGAGAUUUGAGAGAGUCAUACAAAGGAAUCUCUGAGUUUUAUUUGAAAAUCUGCAAAAACUCCAGAGCUAUAGCUGAUCAAGAAUAAGAGACAUGGCACUUGACUAGACUAUUCUAUCUUUUAACUACUCAAGACAGAAGUGACGGUUACAAGUCCCAUGGUGAAAGGUAAAGUAAGUAAGUUUUAAGUCUUAACAGUUUACUCUAACUCAAAGAUGAGACCGUAUUUAGAGCAUGUGUACCGUCAAUUUUUAAAGGCAUUGCAACAACUUCUGAUCCAUCGUUGAGUCUAUCCUUGCUCAAGGACGAGCAAUAGGUAAGCUUGGGGGAGUUUGUUGACGGUCCUUAAGUAUCAGAUUUAAUUAUCAAAUAAACAAAGAAAAGGAUCCAAAUGAAAUCAACAUCUAGACUUAGGGUUUUAUCUGACAGAAUUCCAUGAGUUUUGGUGUUUGUCUAUUUUGCAGGGGGUUAUCAGGAAAUACGGAAGAAAGGCCCACAUGUCGGGAUUACAUAGAGAUAUCAACGUGCCACGCAAUUAUCUUACAUCUAGAAGACUCCAGAAGCCACGGGAAGGAAGCGGAGGCCGAACGGAGCCUUGCCCUGGGCGCCCGCCCAGGUGACCAGGGCGCCCGCCCCCUCCUGGAAUCCAAACAGGACUCUCUUUCAGGAUCAAUCUCCACCGACCUAAAGGAUCAAGGAUGACCGUUCAAUAAAUGUCGGUUUGAUCCGAUGGGCCAUAUUCACUUGGAGGGACUAUAAAACCAGACCCCCUAGCCCCUGGAGGAGAGAGCCUCUCAACCCUAAUUCAUUAUGCUUCAAGGGAGAAGAAGCCUCUGAUCAAGCCUAGAGCCACCACAUCAUAGCAUAGCUACAUAGGAUUAGAACUAGAAGGAGUCAAUCUUCGAUUGGUUUCCGGAUCUGUCAAGAGGAUUCUUGGUAAUUCUCUAAUUGUUCUUCUAAUUGUUCAUCUUUGUUCUUCAAUAUUAUGAAUAUGACUUUUUUCUACUUCAAUAUAUUGCUUAUGACUUUGCUCUACUCGUUUAUAUUCAAGAUUAUAUUGUUCUUAGUUUAUCAUAGUUAUAUACUUGGCUUAGUUAGAUUGGAUUUAUAUACAUGUUUAGAAUCGUAUAGCGUUUAUCCAUCGGAUCCAUGGGUAAAUGAUAGAUAUUGUGUAGGCGUGGUGCUUAUACCGUAUUUAUCUGCAAUUGUACCCAAUAUGCCAGAUCGUGGGAUAGUUCGUGAUAGUGACAGCUUCAUUGAUUCUUAUAUAGUCCCCCUCUCGUGUAUUGGGCUGGCAGAGCAACAUUAUUACAGGGGAGUGAUUACGAUGUUUCUCAUAUUCCUUGCUAAUAUCACUAUGCAUGGGCGUAGUCUUGUCUCACAAUGAUUUCUAAGUAUGCUUGCACUAACUAUGAUAUGCUAGACUAUAUAGUUGAGAAUAACUUAGGAAAUAUUAUUGUAGUUCGUUCUAAUUCCAUGCUAAUGACUUUCUAGAAUAUCUAAUUGAGGUGCUUAUCAUAUUUAUUAUGUGGCUAAGUUAUGCUGAUCAGACUAAUUAUCUUUGUCACUAUUCAUUACUUCAUAUAUCCUUUAUUUGACACUUACCCCUGUAUGAAAGAGUUAGAUAAAUGUUCGCAAUUAUACAUGUAAUGAUAGAUACUCAAUCUCAUAUUCCAUUCUAUAAUCAAUAUUGAUGGUUACUAAUCCCUUCCCAGUUGUAAAAAUAUAAAUAACGAUACCUGGAAUACUUCCCGGUUAAAAUGCUACAUCGGUAUUAAUCUAUGCGCUUGCAGAUCCCAUUCAUUAUUUAUUUAGAAGAGCAAUUGCAUAUUUCAAUAUCGCGUCUCUCAUGUCAUGCUGGGGAUGACAUCUUGGCUUAAGUGGUGUGAGGGAUAGGUUUGGCAUUUUUGGCACCGUUAUCAGAAUUAGAAAACUAAGUCUACUUUUGGUAGUGAUGUUAAGAAUAUCCAACACCUUCCUCGUCCUCGUCAUCGGAAAUCUCGAUGGCAACGGAAAAUAGACUGUCCGGGGAGUCCUGUUCCUGAAAAAGGAAAUAAGAUAAUUUAUUUGAUGAUCAAAUAUUAGUGAUAUAAAGGAGGGAAAUCAGAUAACUUACUUGCUUCAAAGAUAUUUCACGCCUCUGGCUGGUUGAUGCCACUGGUACCACGGGUUGAUCGACUGGACUUGCCGAUGGAACAAUAUCAACUGAAAAAUAAUAAGGAUAAUUAUAAUUUGGAAAAGUAAAUCCAUCGGUGAUAAUUUUAUAGAUAGUACUUUACCUUGAGGGGGUGCAGUGCUUGUCUGUUAUGAAGGGACUACUGAUGAUACGAUUGGAUCCAACGGAUCGGCAGUUUGCUCAAGCACGUCGGCUGAUGAUUCCUGUGGCUGAGGUUCUGAUUGAGGAGAAGAUGGUGCUUGUUGUGUCUAGAUUUCUGGUGAAGAGGGGGAUGAUUCCACAUGAAUUGGCGACACUGGAUGAGGAGGAGAAGGCGGAGCUGUCUUCUGGCGUUUUGGUUGUGAUUUAGUGCUCUUAGGGCCUUUUCUCUUGACUUGACUGGACUGGGGGGCAUCGGCACUUGUUUUGGUACUUCUGGUCUUUGCCGAUUUGCUAGUUUGCUGUUACAAUAAGCAAGAUUUCAUGAGUUUAAAUAUGAAAGAAUGUUGAUGAAAGUCUUGUUAAAAGAUAGAAGUUACCAAUGAGGUUCCAAUAGCAGCCGAUGUAUCCUGAAAAUAUUGUGUGAGUAUGGAAUAGAAUUGGUGUAAGAGAAGGAAAUUAGAAUUUUACAUUGAAAGCCUGUGCCAAGGUAGCAGCAGCAACCGAUGGAGACGUCUUUAAUCGCUUGGUGGUCACCUUCUUGAAACGCACAUUCCAGUGCAUUAAAGUUGCCAAGCUCGGUGCGUCUUGACCGAUCAGAGAAAUCGGGCCCGUUCGAAGGAGCUCGAUCGGCUUUCCACUCCUGCUGACUGUUGGUGGUGGGUUGUUGACCUGAUUUAAAGGGAGAGGGUAAGUUACCAAUGAGAAUAAAAGUAACAAAAGAAUUUAAGUAUCGGUUGAAGACUUACAGUGUUAUCGAGGACUUUGUACUUGGGGUCGAUCAUACCACGGUAUGUCAGAGCCGAUGUGCAAAACAGUUGUUCUUUCCACUCUUCCCACCACUGUUUGUAUGCCUGAGUGAUGAAAAGAGCUGGGAUCCAUGCCGAUAGAUCGAUGUCUGAUGUAUCGGCAUUCGGCUAAAGCUGGGCUAUUCUUAUCCUCUCAAGUUCGUUGGUUAUGGUUUCCCUUGGCUUCACCACAUCGGCAUAGCAGAGUCCAAUCGGCAACUGUCCAAAAGCUAGUUGACGAGCCAGUGCCGAUGGGUUGUAGAACUCAUAGGUGGGGUUGGAAGUUUUCCCACUGCCAAAGAUAUUCACUGGUAUAGCUCUCAGAGUAAUAAUUGUCAUCAUCAGAUCAUGGUCCUUGUUGAGGGCAUCAUCAAAGGGGUGAAAAGUGAGCGGGAAUCUGGUUUCUGGGUCCUCGUCAGGCAUCCAUGCCCGUUGAUCUUUGGCAAGACCCUCAUAGAGAGUUUGGAAGAAUCGGCUGACCAGGUCUUCAUUGCCACCAGUACCAGGUAAAACUAUGGCAGCCUCACCAUAGUUCAAAGGUGGGUGAGUUGCUGAUUCUUCAUCGGCCAAUUCAUGAUCCUUGGCGAUAUCUCUGGGAAAGCGCUGCGCGAAGAGGUCAAAUCCAAGGCGUUUAUGCAUGUGAACACUGAGCCACAUGUUGAUAAACCACCAAGGUCCUCCUAAGUUGCCGAUGGGUUGGCCCCACAAAAGCUUCUCGGCUACUUGAUGAAGGAGAUGGUAAACAGAGCCUAACAAGUAUCGGCCGAGAAGGAAGCGACCACCGUUGGAUAGUUUCUCUGCUGCCGAUAGAUAGACAGAAGUCGGACCUGCCGAUCGGCCGCAAAAUACAAAUUUAUCUAGCCACAUAUUCAGAAAGAUGGCAUGUUCCCUUUGCCCAACUGCUCCUAUUUUUCGGUACUUCUGAAUGUACCCUGGCCAACCGCUGAUGCUGCGAGUUUCUACCUUAGAGCUAGGCUUACUAUCAAACAGAUGGCUAUCAUCGGCAGUUGCUAUUUCUAGACCAGUUAGCAUAAGUACAUCGGCAAGGGUAGGAGAAGAAGGGCCAUGGCCAAACACAAAAGCAUUGAGAGUGUCUGACCAAAAAUACAAAGCUGCUAUCAACAGUGGUUCGUUUCUCUCCAUAUCGGCGAUGGAUAGCCUAAUGCACUCGUCUAAUUUUCGCUCACCCCAUUGGACUUCAUUCGAGUUGCCGAUUCUCAGGAACCUAUCAUUCUUCCCCUUGGUAGAACUGGGCCAGGAACGAAAAGUGUCUUUCCAUAGAUCUAAAGAGAAGUUCUCAGCUCUAAAGGAGAUCCUAUUUGUCUCUGCGUUUAUCAAAUCGGUAGGAUCUAGGUUUCCCAAUGGGCCAAGGCAUUGGAAGUGGGGUUGAUCGGUAGGAAUCACAAUCUUAUCGGCCAAUUCCUAAAGGGUUUGAAGGUUGAAAGAACAGAAAAGAAACAAAGAAAAAAACGUACUCAGUAAGUGGAUUUGCAGAGAAAAAGGAGUACAACAAGAAUACGGUAAAAAGAAGAAAGGGGAUGUUGAGUUGACCUUAGGAACGACGACGUUGAUGGCCAUUUCUUCCCGAGAGGAGGAAAGAAUCGAAGACUCGGAAGAUUGUUGGAGGAGAUCCUUGCCGGAGUUCUUGAAGUUCUCGAAUAGUGCCACCGCCAGGAAGGUAGGUUUGAGGCUGUAGAAUGACAAGAUGGGGAAGAGUACCGGAGAAGUAAGUAUUUAUAGGAUAAAGAGAGCAGGGGCAAAUCUGACUUAUCUCUUCGCCGUAUCCGUGAAAUCCGAGGGUGUUUAGGUGGAUAUGGAACUGUUCGCAUGAUAAUCAAGGCAUUGCGCAGGUGAUUUGACAACAAGCGGUCAUGAUUUUGGAGAUAUCUUACUGUGCAAGAUCUUUUGGUCGGUUCAUCGGCAGUUUUCUCUAACGAAAAUAUUGUCGAUGAACGUAUAUUAAGGGGAUUCGGUUCGAGAAGUUGGGGAAUUCGAGGUACCUGUUGUAAGACCGGGCUAAGGUUGUUUGGAUUUGGUAAUUAAUUGCUGACAGAAAGGGAUAAUUGCGGAAAGGCGUCAUUACUGGGGAGAAUUUCGAAGCAUUAAUGAUUUUAUACUCCGAAAUUGGGGGGCAUGUGUUGACACCGUUUUUGGACACGUAUCUUUGGACACGUAUCUGGAAUUAAUGAGGUAUAGAUCGGCUGGCAGAAAAGUGGUGACUAGUCUACAGAAGAGUUGCCGAUGAGGGUUGGUGCUGAUGGGAAAACGACAGGAUGUGGCUAAGUCUAGGAGUGUGAUGGAUUCGUGCCGAUGACUGGUGCUGCUGAUUGCUGAUGGCUGUGAGAGGUGGCUUGCCGAUGAUUAUGGAGAAAGGCGUAGGGGUUGUCGAUCGACUCAUUGCGGUGUACCGAUCGGUUGUGGAGGAUGAUUUGAUGCUUUCCAUAGUUAUUAGAGUUUGUUUUGUAUACAGAUUUUGUUUAAUUUAGAAUUCAAAUCCUAGUCGUGUCUGGUUGUAACUCCUGUGAACAGUGUAUAAAUGUAGACCCCGUAGCAAUGUAAUGAAUAUACACAAUCAAUCAAAUACAAGAUUUUACAUCUAUUCUAGCAUCUAAUUUUUCGACGACUUCGUCGAUUUGCAUAUUUUCUUUUUCUACGAGUUCUUUGGAAUUCUUCGAGUCAACCUCAGCGAGUUCUCGAGUCCAACGUGAAUACCUCUUGGCCGUGACAUCCGGGCGCAUCAUUGUUGUCGGGACCAAAGUAUUCGAGUUAUCACCUUUGUCGAUUGUAAGGUCAAAUCGGCUGGCACGCCUUAACGUUGAAUCGGGUAUUAGCCCUUUGUGUUUGCAGAUCACUUUUGCACCAACAGUAUCAAACUCAACAUCCAUACCUAUUUGGUGCAAGAAAGCGGGGUCGAAUGCCGGCGACUGGAGGAACUCGCGUUCCUUCAUGAGGUUGUAUGCCUGCAUCUCCCGCUCGCUCUCCAAGUUGAUGAAGGGGGCGUCGGCCUCAUCAAUGGCGUGGCCGUGUUGGCUCCUCCUCCUCUCCUCCAUGUGCUGACUGCUCGUUCCUUGCAGGGAUUGGUGGAUCUUCCCCGUGUUGGCGGCGGCUCAUUCUAAGCUCGAAUAUUCUAUUCAUGGUGGACGAGCUAGCACAAGUGUAUGGUGUUUUUGCUUGGAGAGGGAAGUGUGCAAGAGGUUUUUGACAUAAUUUUCUUGCACUAAGCUUGUGGAGUAGGCUAUGAAGCAAAGUGGAGCAAGAGAGUCAAGAAGGGAAGAGUAAAAAAUGUGUGUGAGAGGGGUGAGGUGCAACACCCGGGAUCCUCUCUAUUUAUAGAGUUGGUCUCAGGCGUGUCGACGAAAGCUGGUCGGCAGUCUACCUUGGGGUAUACCCACGGUAGUAGUUUAUCGGUAGACGGUGCGCAAACUACGAACUCGAUGGUGACGCAAGACACGGACAAGCUUUUUAUCCAGGUUCGGCCGCCGAGUUGGCGUAAUACCUACGUCCUGCGUCUGGUUGUAUUGAUUUGUGUUGAGAGAAUAUGAUAUGUGAUGUGAUGUGAUAUCCUAGGGGGGUCCCUUGCCCCUCCUUAUAUAGUCUGGAGGGCAGGGUUACAGAUCUGGAAACUAAUCCUAGUCGGUUACAAUCGCCAUGGAUAAUUUGAUAUCAAUUCCUAUUCUAACCGACUAGAAUCCUGCUUGACCUCCACAUCUUGUUUCCUUACGCGAAACUCCAGGUUGUCGGAUCAAGCCUUGAACUCGUCUCGUAAUAGGCCAAGGCUCCUGGCCCAAGUCUAGCCGUAAGGGUAUAGGGGUUUAUACCCCCACAGCUAGUCCCCGAGCACCAUGUAUUGUGAUGUAACACGCCGUCUUGAGCUCCUUCGAUCAGCGAGGCUUGACGUCUUCAAUAAGCAGGAAAGUCGCCCGAACAGUUGCAACAGUAUUUUGACCAACUCAAAAAACAGUUGAUCAACAUUGACAUCGAAGAAGCAGGUUGUUUGAAGAAUGCAUGGUGCUCUAAAUUAAAAAAGAUUUCUUUCCUAGUGAAGUGUGCCCACUUUACUUUUCUGAAAAGUAUAGCCUUUCAAAAAAGCAAGCACAUUCACCGCAAGGUGAAGUGUGCCCACUUAGUCCCCGAGCCUGGUAGUAGGUGACGUAGGCACGUGGUGCCAGGGUCAAAAGAAAAGUCCUCAAAGAAAUUCUCAAACUGAGAUGCAUCGUCAGAUGCAUCGUACCGAUGUAGUCCCCGAGCUUGCUGGAAGGCGAAGUAUGAGCCUUGUAGCAAGGUCUAAAAAAAUUGAAUUUACCAGUCCGUCUGCAAUUGAAUAGACUAAUCGACCAGUCCCCGGGUGUAUAAUAGUAUGACGACCAGUCCCCAAGCACCAAGUGCGCUCCUUAGAAUUCUGCGUUGCUAUACUGUACGACCAGUCCCCGAGCAUCGAGUGCUCGGUGGUCGGUGCAGUCUUUGAAGUUCCGAGCUGAUAGACUGGGCGACCAGUCCCCGAGCGUCAAGUGCUUGGUGGUCGGUACAGUCCCCGAAUUCUCAAAUUGGUGGGCUGGUCGACCAGUCCCCGAGCGUAUAGUGCUCGGUGGUCGGUACAGUCCCCGAGCACGGCGUAGGGACCGGUGGACAAGUCCCCGAGCGUGGUUGGGAACGUAAACGUGCUCGGUGGUCGGCACAGUCUUCGAGCACAGCAUAGAGAGUAGUCGACAAGUCCCCGAGCGUGGUUGAGAACGUAAACGUGCUCGGUGGUCGGAGCAGUCCCCGGGCACAGCGUAGGGAAUAGUCGACGAGUCCCCGAGCGUAGCUUGUCGACUGGGCCAAACCCCUAAAAAAUAAAUAUAAAGAAUAGGUAGUACAUGAUGUAUAAAUAAACUUUAGAUAAAAAUCAGUACUGAGAUAAGUUUUAGAUUUUUUGUUAUAAAAUUAGCACAAGUAGUUAAUUCAUCCUAGAGCUUGUACCAGCUCUGGUCUAGCCAACAAUCAGCAUGAGGUGCGGAACCUAGACACGCGUGGGAUUGCCAGCCUCGCCAGAGAGCUACUGCCGACCACCCGGAACGCAGAGGGCGGAUCUCGUGCACGUGUAGGGAGGAGUCGGAGACAGUACCGGCUCUGGAAAGCUCGUGUAGAAGAAAAAACUAGUGUGGCUAAACAAAAAGUUGUUUUUGAAGGAUAAUAAAAAAUAUUAUGCCAAAAUAAAUAAGAUAUUAGAAGUGUACUUAUCUUUGGAUGAAAGUCUGGUCGGUGACGACAAAAUUGUCUGGCCCUCGAGCUUUUGGACUUGUUAUCGUGACGGUGGUCGCUGUUGUCGUAGCGUCGUUCUUCGCGGCGAUUAUUAUUGCGACUGGUGGUCAGAGCAAGUAGGCCAAACAAUUUGGUCGAUGGCCCGAGCAGGUCGGUGUUGUCGAUCUGCCUCCCUUUGUUGCAGGGAAGCGGGUGACGCGUUGUCGGCGUGGUCGGAGACGUUGCUGGAGUAGUCGGAGUCGUAGCCAGCGUGGUUGAAGCCGCCGCUGACGUCGAUGAAGAAGUGGUUGGCGCAGAUCGGAUCUACACCUCCUCCGUGGUCAUGGCGGUGAAGUUGUUGAAGCUGACGGUGAACGUGAAGCCGCCCGCCAUGGCCGCGAAGUCGGGGAUGAUGGCCAUCUUGUUCGCCGGAAAAGUUGCACGCACACCCCCUACCUGGCGCGCCACUGUCGACGAAAGCUGGUCGGCAGUCUACCUUGGGGUAUACCCACGGUAGUAGUUUAUCGGUAGACGGUGCGCAAACUACGAACUCGAUGGUGAUGCAAGACACGGACAAGCUUUUUAUCCAGGUUCGGCCGCCGAGUUGGUGUAAUACCUACGUCCUGCGUCUGGUUGUAUUGAUUUGUGUUGAGAGAAUAUGAUAUGUGAUGUGAUGUGAUAUCCUAGGGGGGUCCCUUGCCCCUCCUUAUAUAGUCUGGAGGGCAGGGUUACAGAUCUGGAAACUAAUCCUAGUCGGUUACAAUCGCCAUGGAUAAUUUGAUAUCAAUUCCUAUUCUAACCGACUAGAAUCCUGCUUGACCUCCACAUCUUGUUUCCUUACGCGAAACUCCAGGUUGUCGGAUCAAGCCUUGAACUCGUCUCGUAAUGGGCCAAGGCUCCUGGCCCAAGUCUAGCCGUAAGGGUAUAGGGGUUUAUACCCCCACAAGGCGGGGGAGCGCCCCCCUCAACGGCUACUAGCCGUUGCCCAAAGGCCGAGGCCAGCAGGCCUUAGGCAGGGUGCGGCCGCACCGUAGUGCACCCGCACCAGUGGUGGGCCCGCCUGUGCUCGGCCUUUUGGCUGAUGGUUCCAACGGCUCUCCCCAACGUCUCUCUGGUUACGAUCAAACCUAGUUCAAAACUUUGCUCCAGAUUUUUAUUUUCCACAUAUUUAUUCAAGAUAUUUUUGGUUUUCAAAAAUUAUAUAAAAAUAAGAUUUGGAAAUGAGAAAAUCUAUUGUACCAGAAAAUAAUUUUUAUAAGAUUUUGAGAGAAACUUUAUUUUUUGACUAAAAUAAAACUAUAGAAAGGGAAACUUUUGGGAACUAAAAAUAAAAACUUUCUAUAAAAUGGGAAAUUUGAAAUGAAUUUAAAGAAUUUAAAAAGACAUAAUACCUAAGUGGGGACACCUCCCCCAAGCUUGCUUGAUGUCAUGGGCCCCUUCAGAUAUCUUUAUUGGGACACAAAUAGCACAAAAUUUAUUUUUAUUAUAUAUAGUGUUUUUUGAGAUAACUACCGAAUGCCUUUGGCAAGGGCUCAACAUUUAUAGUCCAUUGGCAAGACUUUCCUUCCUUCAUUCUUCUAUGGCUGCAUGGACGAACUUAGUAGAGUUUUCCGGUUGCCCUGGGAUCCUCUCUGUGUCAGUGACUGGAAUUGAUGCAGCUAUCUGUGCUAUCUGUGUUUCUAUCAUCUUGUUGAAACUCGUCUGACUUUUGACAGAUGAAGAAAAAGUUUCAAGCUUGGCGUUGAUGUUCUCAAUGAUAUUGUCAUUGUAGGACAGCUUCUUGGUUAUAUUCUCGUUGAUUUUAGCUUGCCCUAUGACCAGAUCUUUCAAGGAAGGCUGAUUGAAGAAAUUACCCUGCGGGCGGUGCUGAUUGUUCCACCCAUUGUUACCUUGUUGUGGUGGCAGAAACCCAUUGUUGACAUAUGCUGCUUGUUCUUGGGUUUUGGGGCAAUUGUUCCCCGAAUGGCCAUCAUCACCACAAACUUCACACGAUGUGUGUGAGUUCACUGCUUGGACGGUGCCCAUGUUGGGAUUUGCAACUUGUCUGACCAUCCUUUGCAGCAGCAAGUCUAUUUUUGCGGCAAGCACAUCUGCCUCCUUCGCAGAUUGCGAGCCUUUUUGUGUUUUCCUUCCUUCUCCCCAGCUUUGAUUUGCCACCAUGUUCUCGAUGAGGGCAGUAGCUUUAUUAACGGUGAGAGAAAGGAAUGCACCUCCAGCUGUGGCAUCUACGUGCCCCUUUGACAUGGCCGUGAGGCCUUUGUAGAAGUUCUGGAGCACAAGCCAGUCUUCCAUUCCAUGGUGAGGACAGGCCUGGAUGUACUCCUCGAGCAUCUCCCAUGUUUUGGGUAUGAACUCAAGAAAAGACUGCUAGAAGUUAGAGAUCUUCCCCCUCAGAGCGCUGGUCUUGCUCAUGGGGAAGAACUUGGCGAGGAAUGCCACGGAGCACUUUUCCCAUGUGUCAACAGCUUCCUUGUUCUGAUAAAACCAUUGUUUCACCUUUCCGACGAGGGAAAAGGGAAACAGACAGAGCCUGAUGCUAUUCUGUGCGACGUCCUUGAUGACGAUGAUGUUGCACAGCUCAAGGAAGUUCUGAAGGUGGGCGUUGGCAUCCUCGCUUGGCAGCUCAAGGAGGGGGUGGUAGCUGUCGACGAAAGCUGGUCGGCAGUCUACCUUGGGGUAUACCCACGGUAGUAGUUUAUCGGUAGACGGUGCGCAAACUACGAACUCGAUGGUGACGCAAGACACGGACAAGCUUUUUAUCCAGGUUCGGCCGCCGAGUUGGCGUAAUACCUACGUCCUGCGUCUGGUUGUAUUGAUUUGUGUUGAGAGAAUAUGAUAUGUCCUAGGGGGGUCCCUUGCCCCUCCUUAUAUAGUCUAGAGGGCAGGGUUACAGAUCUGGAAACUAAUCCUAGUCGGUUACAAUUGCCAUGGAUAAUUCGAUAUCAAUUCCUAUUCUAACCGACUAGAAUCCUGCUUGAUCUCCACAUCUUGUUUCCUUACGCGAAACUCCAGGUUGUCGGAUCAAGCCUUGAACUCGUCUCGUAAUGGGCCAAGGCUCCUGGCCCAAGUCUAGCCGUAAGGGUAUAGGGGUUUAUACCCCCACAGCUAGUCCCCGAGCACCAUGUAUUGUGAUGUAACACGCCGUCUUGAGCUCCUUCGAUCAGCGAGGCUUGACGUCUUCAAUAAGCAGGAAAGUCGCCCGAACAGUUGCAACGGUAUUUUGACCAACUCAAAAGACAGUUGAUCAACAUGGACAUCGAAGAAGCGAGUUGUUCGAAGAAUGCAUGGUGCUCUAAAUUAAAAAAGAUUUCUUUCCUGGUGAAGUGUGCCCACUUUACUUUUUUGAAAGGUAUAAACACCAAAAAAGCAAGCAUAUUCACCGCAAGGUGAAGUGUGCCCACUUAGUCCCCGAGCCUGGUAGUAGGUGACGUAGGCACGUGGUGCCAGGGUCAAAAUAAAAGUCCUCAAAGAAAUUUUGUAGCUGAGAUGCAUCGCCAGAUGCAUCGUACCGAUGUAGUCCCCGAGCUUGCUGGAAGGCGAAGUAUGAGCCUUGUAGCAAGGUCUAAAAAAUUGAAUUUACCAGUCCCCGAGCAUAUCAUGCUCGUCUGCAAUUGAAUAGACUGAUCGACCAGUCUCCGAGCAUAUAACGCUUGGUGGUCGGUACAGUCCCCGAAUUCUCAAAUUGGUGGGCUGGUCGACCAGUCCCCGAGCGUAUAGUGCUCGGUGGUCGAUGCAGUCCCCAAGUUCAUAAAUUGGUGAGCUGGUCGACCAGUCCCCGAGCGUAUAGUGCUCGGUGGUCGGCACAGUCCCCGAGCACGGCGUAGGGACCGGUGGACAAGUCCCCGAGCGUGGUUGGGAACGUAAACGUGCUCGGUGGUCGGCACAGUCUUCGAGCACAUCAUAGAGAGUAGUCGACAAGUCCCCGAGCGUGGUUGGGAACGUAAACGUGCUCGGUGGUCGGAGCAGUCCCCGGGCACAGCGUAGGGAAUAGUCGACGAGUCCCCGAGCGUAGCUUGUCGACUGGGCCAAACCCCUGAAAAAUAAAUAUAAAGAAUAGGUAGUAGGUGGCGUAGGCACGUGGUGCCAGGGUCAAAAGAAAAUUCCCCAAAGUAGUUUCGAGAACUGAGAUGCAUCGCUAGAUGCAUCGUACCGAUGUAGUCCCCGAGCUUGCUGGAAGGCGAAGUAUGAGCCUUGUAGCAAGGUCUAAAAAAUUGAAUUUACCAGUCCCCGAGCAUGUCAUGCUCGUCUGCAAUCGAAAAAACCAAUCGACCAGUCCCCAGGCACUUAGUGUGCUUCUUGGAAUUAUAUGUUGCUAUAUUGUACGACCAGUCCCCGAGCAUCGAGUGCUCAGUGGUCGGUGCAUGCUUUAAAGUUUUGAACUGAUAGUCUAAGCGACCAGUCCCCGAGCGUCGAGUGCUCGGUGGUCGGUGUAGUCCUUGAAGUUCUGAGUUGACAGACUGGGCAACCAGUCCCCGAGCGUCGAGUGCUCGGUGGUCGGUGCAGUCCUUGAAGUUCCGAGCUGACAGACUGGGCAACCAGUCCCCGAGCGUCGAGUGCUCAGUGGUCGGUGCAGUCCCCGGAUUGCUGACUCACUGGCGUAUGUGUCUUCUUUUGAAAAGAUCUUUCCAAUUAAAGUUGACGUGACGGGGUCUCCUGACGAUAUGUCAGUCAGAUGCAUGAAAAGCUGCACCUGGCAACUGUACAACCGCUCUUUGCAUGGUUUGAGAAAAGGAAACCAUCAAUUGGUACGAAAACUCCGCCGCAUUAAUUGUAUAUAAUCAUUGUAAACCGAAACGCCGCGUCCGCCGCAUGGCCUGCCCACUUCCCGAGAAUACAGGAAGUGGGAGAAGUGGGGUCGCGGGUUUAUAAGGGUCUAAUAGGACCGCCUGUACCGCUUCUCCUGCUGUUGCCUUCAAACCUUACGCUCUCAUCUUCUCCAAUCUCCUGCAUCUUCCUAACUCCAGCCCACAUUCGCACCUCUAAUGGCGAAGAGCGACUCCAGGAAGAGGGCCGAACUGAUGGCCAAGGAGUGGAAGAAGUCUCGCAGCACCACAAAAUCUCUUGGUGACCUCAUCGAUAUGGGGCUUCUGCACGGUGCAGAGCUCGGCGGCUGGAGGGCACCGGAGGGGGAGAGCUACCCCGACCCUCGCGCCGGUGAGAUCGUCGUUUUUGAGGAUUUCGUUAAGAGAGGCUUUGGUGUUCCUGUCCAUCCUUUUCUUCAAGGUCUUCUUUUGUACUAUGAGAUCGGGAUUUGCAAUCUGCACCCGAACUCAAUUCUCCUUAUUUCCACCUUCAUCCACCUGUGCGAGGCCUAUGUUGGCAUAGAGCCACACUUCGAUCUUUUCCGAUACCUUUUCUGCUUGAGGAAGAAGGGAGCAGUUGGAGGCUCCAAGGUUGCAGGUGGAGUAUACCUCAACCUUCGCGAUGGGAUGAAGAAUCGCUAUCUGCACUGCCCAUGGAACACUUCCUUGACCGAAUGGUACAGGAAGUGGUUCUAUGUCAGGGAGGAACCGGGCAGCUCCACGUUCUGCGACGUGGGAUACAUUCCCGAGAAGAGGACGAGCUGGACCGACCGCCCAGAGUUCGACGGUCAAGUGGCGGAUCUGAUGAAGCUGAUCGACUGGUCGCGCCUGGAUGGGCUUGGCGUGGUCGGCAACUUCAUUUGCCGCAGGGUGAUGCCCUGCCAGAAGAGGGUGCACUCGGCGUACGAGUAUGCCGGAAGCGCAGACCCGACCAGGAUGCGGUCGGAGAUCUUGGAGAAAGCGAAGGUACAACAGCUGUUGAACGAGCUGUUUAACUUCGCGGAUGGGGGCUUCACCCGGGGCAGUGAUCGGGUGCAAGCCUUCAAGUUAGGACGACCAGCACCAAAGGUAUGCAGCAGACUCUGUUUGAUCAUUCGUAUAUCGUCUGUAGUUGACUCAUCUCUGUUGCUUUUGCAGGCCGGUGAUGUCGACCGGUACGUGGUGUAUGUAUCACUGGCGCCGGGGAUGGAAAAUCCUGCGGGAGAGGUCCCGCCAGAGGAGGACGCUGCUCGGUGUACUCAUUACACCAGCAGUGAGGAAGACCGAGCCCGCCCCGUCCCGACCUCCGAGGAGAGGGUAGCGGGGAAAAGGCCAUUGCCGGCGGAUCCCUUGCCGACAUCGGAGCUGCCAGCAGACCUACCGGCGGAGAGCAGCCAAGCGCCGAAACGUCGUCGGCUCGUGCGGAUCGUCGACGACGAUGACGACGACGAGGAGGCUGCGCCGUCGUUGGUCCGACGGCCUCGGAGCCGCCCAGACACUACGCCGGUCGCCACUGAUCGAGUGGCCAGCGGCGUCGCUGCCCCGCAAGUUGCCGAGGUGGGGGCACAGGUGCCGACCGGCCGGGCGAGGAGGAGGUUCACCGCGACCCAUCGCCGGUCAGACCUGUAAGUGUUCGACUUACGUAUUUUGGACUCCUCUUUUUUUUUUUAAACUUUUGUUCCUGCAGUGCGGCAUCGGAUGUCGACCCUGGCCAAACUGCCGGCCAGGUAACGGACGAGCCUGCCCGCGGUUCUGGGGAUGCAGCCCCCCAGACCACAGAACAGCCAACAGCUGCAGUCGCGCCUGGGAGCACCGAGGGGCCCCCGAGCGCGGCGCCGACAACAAGCAGCCCGACCAGGGCUGGAGAGGCUCCCCCAACUGACUCCUCGGAGAAGGGGAGAUCUCCGACCGCUCCUCCUGCCGGGGGGGGUGAAGUCCCCCCGCUGCCCCGAGCAGGAGCCUCUUCGGCUGCGGGCUCCCCAGGUCUGGUCCAAGGGCCAGUAAUGCCUGGGACCACCACCGGGGGUGACGCAGCACAGGAGGACGAAACCCGGGCGGCCUCCGACGACGAGGUGGAGGAGAUCGAGGGUCGUCCCCGUGAUGGCCGCCAACACGUGUAUGUGUGGCGCCAACGCGGGGAUCACUUUAUCGGUCAUGAGGAGGUCGCUGAGACCGAAGAGGCCGCCAGGGUGGAGCGCGCGGCCAAGCGCCUUGUCGACGAAGUCAAGGUAAGCGGCUUUUUGUACUGAUGCGCAUUCUUUUGCCUUGUCUUGCUUGAUCGUUAUAUGCUUGCUUUGUAGGACGUAAUGAAAACGGCGAAGUACCGGAAACAGUGCUUUGACCAGAUAGAAAUCGUCAUGGCUGAGAACAAGGCCCUUGCCGCGGAGGUAGACCGGUUGCGGGCGGAGGUCGGGGAGAAGGUGGUCGAGAUGAGCGCUGAAAAGGAGCGUCGUCUCGACCUCGCUCGUCGCCUGGCCGACCAGUACCGGCUGCAGGAAGGUUAGUCACACGCUCCGAGCAGUUUCGCGUACUUGUGUAGUUUGUUUUGCUGACCAGUUUAGGAUUCACGCAGACUUGGAGGAGGAGGUGGCGAGCCUCCAACAAGAGAAGGAGCAGCUCGGCCAACAGCUCGCCAGUGCACAGGAGUUCGGGUGGCGAGCGGAAGAGGAAUUGGGUCGAAAAGACCGGGAGUUAGCUGGUAAUGGGUGCCGCCUUGUUGGUUGCUGCCUGCCCCUUUGCUUGUCUGGUAUGCCGGAAGUAACGUUUCGUUUUGUUUGCAGUGCUCAAGGUGAACACCAAAAAGCACCUGGAUGAGCUGGUCAAGGACCGGGACUCCUGGAAGGUCAACUGUUGCAGGAUCUGGAAAGGAGUGUCCCCGGUCCUGGACCUGAUCAAUCCCGAGCUCCCGGAGAGCCAGCCCCGCGCGCCGCAGUUGACCCCCGUCGAGAAGGCGCAACGGGCGUGGGAUUGGCUCCAGCAGUUUGUGAAGGACGCCGGAGAGUUUGCCGGCGCGCACGUCCUCAGCAUGGUACGCGCCCACUACCCCCUGGUCGACUUGAGCAGGCUGGAGAAGGGGUACCCGAAGGAAGUCGGCCCACAGGAAGCGGACGAACUUCGGGGUAGUCUGCUGAACUUGUCGUCGACAGUGAUCGGCGACAUCAACCUGUGCGGAACGGCCACUCCUCCAGACCAGCCGAGCUCAGAUAGGUCGGCCAGGGAGUUGUCGGGCGCGUCCGUUGCUGGAGAUGGGCGGUCGACGCCUGCGGUCUCGACCAGCCAGGCGCCGGUGGCCCCGACCCCUUCGUCCGGGCAGCAGGGCCAGGCGGGUGAUCAGCCCGAGCAGCUAGGCCAAUAAAGUAGUCUGUAGGAAUAGACUAGUAUGUGCCCGUCAGGGUAUUUAUUGUAAACUUUGUAUGUAAAGUUUGUAAUAAAGUUUUCUUUUUGUCAUGACUGUUGUUUUGAGCGCUGUAAAAAUAUCUGAGUGACGUGUCACCGUAUUUGUCUUGGUUGUCGCCAAGAGCAUCCAUUGCAGAAGUUUUGCCGAGUGCUGUGUAUGACAAGGUAUAGGCGAAAAAUAGAGAAUUUUAUUAUCAAAAAUUAUAAGGUACUUACAAAAGAAAGUCGUUGAAACUUUAUGGAUAGAAACGUCGCAGUUUGUCGAUGUGCCAAGAGUUAGGCACUCGUGUUCCGUCUGGGUAUGCCAAUCUGUAGGACGUAGGUCGUGUGACCUCGGUCACCACGAAGGGUCCUUCCCAGGGAGUAGAUAACUUGUGCAUUCCCUCCUGGCUUGUUUUCCAUCGAAGCACCAGAUCGCCGACCACGAAGGAACGGUCCUUGACGUUCCUGUUGUAGUAUCGCCUGACUGCCGCGAGAUAUUUUGCUGUUCGGAGACAUGAAACUAAACGCUUUUCCUCCAUGCAAUUGAUUUCUAGUUCUCUGGCGUUGUCGGCGGUCGCCUGGUCGAAGUGCUCGAUUCUAGGAGAUCCGAAGUGUAUGUCGGACGGCAAGACCGCCUCUGCGCCGUACACCAUGAAAUAGGGAGACACCCCUGUGUUUCGACUGGUCUGAGUUCGGAGGCCCCAGACCACUGCCGGCAAUUCCUUCAUCCAACGACCGGGUGCUCUGUCGUUCUCGGUGUACAAUCUUUUCUUUAGGGCGUCGACGAUCAUUCCGUUAGCACGUUCAACUUGACCGUUGGCACGUGGAUGUGCCACUGACACAUAUUUUAUGACUAUGCCUCUGUCAUCGCAGAAAUCCCAAAAAGUGGUGCCAGUAAACUGAGUGCCCAGGUCGGUGAUUAUGCUGUUCGGGAUGCCGAAUCUGUGUAUGAUUUGAUUGAGGAACUCCACAGCCUUCUCGGAGGUUGCCUUGACCAGGGGCAUGUAUUCAAUCCACUUGGAGAACUUGUCGAUUAACACGAAAACAAACUUGAAGUUGCCCGGGGCUGGUUUAAAUGGUCCGAUCAUGUCAAGCCCCCAGCAAGCAAAGGGCCAAGACGACGGGAUGGUUUGAAUUUCAUGGGCAGGUACGUGGGUCCUCUUAGCGAAAAACUGACAUCCUUCGCAAUGCCGAACCAGUUUUUCUGCGUCGCUGACCGCGGUUGGCCAAUAAAAACCUGCUCGGAAAGCCUUUCCGACCAGCGUUCUAGAUGCGGCGUGGUUGCCGCAGGAUCCGGCGUGUAUGUCCUCCAAGAGCUUGAUACCAUCGUCUUGGGGUAUGCACUUGAGCAGUACCUCGGAGCUUGCGUUUUUCCGCAUGAGUUUUCCGUCGACCAGGAUGUAGUUCUUUGAUCGUCGGAUGAGACGCUCGUUCUCUGUUUUGUCCUGAAAACCUGUCCCGUCUGAGAUGUAUUUGAUGAACGGGAUACGCCAAUCACGCCCACCGGUUGUCGGAGUGGCGUCAUCUAUGAGCAUUGCCUCGGUGGGUUGCUUGUCGACCAGGGGGGAGCUUACGCUCGGCUCAUGGAUGUCCUGGACGAAAAUACCCCGCGGGAUUUGGGCCCGAGACGAGCCUAACUUUGACAACGCAUCUGCUGCUUGGUUCUUAUCCCGGACCACGUGGAUGUACUCUAUGCCAUAGAAGUUAGUUUCCCAUUUGCGAAUUUCUUUGCAAUAGAGAUCCAUCUUCUCGUGGGUUGCGUCCCACUCCUUGUUGAGCUGGUUGAUGACCAAAGCGGAGUCGCCGUAGACAUAGAGGCGCUUGAUCCCCAGUUCGACGGCUAGUCGUACGCCAUGUAAACAAGCUUCGUAUUCGGCGACAUUGUUUGACGCCGGAAAAAGGAUCCGAAGGACGUAGCGGAGUUUGUCCUUGUUUGGUGAUACGAACAAUAUCCCAGCGCCUGCACCGUUGAUGUUCAAGGACCCGUCAAAGAACAUUGACCAGUGGUCUGAGACAUCUGGAACGGAAGGUUCGUUGAGAUCCGUCCAUUCGGCAAUGAAAUCGACCAGGGCUUGAGACUUGACAGUGGUGCGACUCUGGAACUCUAGGGAAAAUGGACAUAAUUCCAUUGCCCAUUUCACGAUUCUGCCAUUGGCGUCUUUAUUGCGCAGGAUGUCCCCGAGAGGAAAGCUGGUUGUCACCAGGACUCGAUGGCCGUCGAAGUAGUGCUUCAGCUUUCUUGACGUUAUCAGGAUGGCGUAUAUAAGCUUCUGUAUUUGUGGGUACCUGGCCUUGGAUUCGUUUAAAACUUCACUUAUGAAGUAAACGGGUCUCUGGACCUUGAAAACGUGACCUGGUUCAUCUCGCUCGACCACUAUUGCCGUGGAAACAACCCUGUCGGUUGCAGCAAUGUAAAGGAGCAGGUCUUCAUUGGGCUGAGGCGCUGUGAGGACAGGCGGUGAAGUGAGGAAGGUCUUAAGCUGAGUGAACGCAGCGUCGGCUUCUUCUGUCCAGGAGAAUUUUUCUGACGCUUUCAAUAGUUUGAAGAAAGGGAGGCCUUUUUCUCCCAGCCUUGAGAUGAAACGACUGAGGGCGGCCAUGCAUCCGGUUAGCCUCUGAAUAUCCUUGACGUUCUUCGGUGGUCGCAUGUCGAGCACGGCUUUGACUUUUGAAGGGUUUGGUCGUAUGCCGUCGCAACUGACGACGUUGCCGAGCAGUAGACCGGAAGGGACGCCGAAAAUGCAUUUCUUGGGGUUGAGCUUCCACUUGUACCUAUUGAGUGCUUUGAAGGUUCGGUCUAAGUUGUCGAUUAGGGUGCUCGCGUCCCUUGUUUUUACGACCACGUCGUCCACAUAGGCCUCGACGAGGUCAUCGCGAAUCUCGUCGUGGAGGCAUUGCUGGAUGGCCCUUUGAUAAGUGGCCCCGGCGUUUUUAAGUCCGAAAGACAUGGUAGUGUAACAGUAUGCGCCGAAGGGCGUGAUGAAGGAUGUUUUGAUCUGAUCUUCUUCCUUUAACGAGAUCUGGUGAUAACCAGAGUAGCAAUCUAGAAAGGAGAGGAGUUCGCAUCCGGCCGUUGAGUCGACCACCUCGUCGAUGCGAGGAAGACCAAAUGGAUCUUUAGGACAGUGUUUGUUGAGAUCGGUGUAAUCAACGCACAUUCUCCAUUCAUUAUUCUUUUUGCGUACAAGAACCGGAUUGGCGAGCCAAUCGGGAUGAUACACCUCUUUUAUGAAUCCGGCUGCUAGAAGCCGUGUUAUUUCUGUCCUAAUGGCCUCCUUUUUGUCACGAGCGAACCGUCGCAGUUUUUGCUUGAUUGGUCUUGCGGUCUUCGAGACGUUUAAGGAGUGCUCGAUCAGGUUUCGUGGGACACCGGGCAUGUCUGCGGGUUUCCAUGCGAAAACGCUCACGUUGUCCCUUAGAAACCUGACGAGCGCGUCUUCCUAUUUUGGAUCCAGGUUAGCCCCGAUGAGGGCUGUCUUCUCGGGGUUGCCUUCGACCAGCUGCACUUCUUUGUACUCCUUGGAUUUCGAAUUCUUUCUGGAUGUCUCCUGCUCAGGUAAUCGGAGCUGGUCGGGAGGCAGCUGUGCGGCUUGGCUUGCUGUUUCCGCCAUGCGGAUUGAGAGGUCAAUUGCCUCGGUGAUCUUGAAGCUUUCUUCUUCGCAGGUGUACGCCGUGUAGACGUUGCCUCUGACGGUUAGGACACCCUUCUCCGUGGGCAUCUUAAGCACUAGGUAUGAGUAGUGCGGGACUGCCAUGAACUUUGUCAGCGACGGGCGGCCCAGUAUGGCGUGGUAGGUCCCGUCGAAGUCCGCGACUACGAAGUUGAUGAACUCCGUCCGGAAGUGAUCGGGUGUGCCGAAUUGGACAGGCAAUGUUAUCUGUCCGAGGGGCACCGAACUUUGACCUGGCAAAACCCCCCAGAAUUGGGCGUCGUAAGGUUUUAGUUGCGCCGGUGAUAUCUUGAGGGCGGGCAGGCUGUUGCGGAAGAGGAUGUCGAUGGAGCUUCCCCCGUCCACGAGCACGCGCUCGAAUCUGAUGCUAUUGAUGCAGGGAUCAAGAAUUAGUGGGAAACGACCCGGCUCUGGGAUAGCGGCCCACUGGUCCUUCCUGCUGAACGCGAUCUCCCUGUGGGACCGGGCGGGAAAUUUCGGAUCUGCGAUCAGCCCGUCCGUGCUGUCUAUGUUGAGGCAGGCUCUCUUUAACAGCUUUCUUUCUCGCUUGGACUCAGUGGAGACCUUGCCCCCGAAAAUGGAGUGGACCACGUCGGUGGGGCUGACGUAUUGGUGUCGGGGGUCCCUGUCUUGGUCCUCAUCCUCAUCUUCGUGGUCGUGCCCGUCGCGUUUGUUAGUUUUCUUGGCGGUGUCUUCUUGGGCGGCCCGCCGUGUAUAGAUACUUUUGAGGACGCGGCACUCUUCCAUGGUAUGGUUAGACUUUGGGUGUAGCUGGCAUGGUCCCUUCAACGUUUUGUUGUAGUCUUCUUGGUAGUCCCGUCGUCCAUUGGGACGUUUAACCGUGUUUACUUCGUGGUCGUAUUCACGAGGGCGCUUUCCUCUGAAGUCGUCGCGGCUGUUGCGCCGCCGAUCCCAACCCUCUCGGUGAUCACGGUUGUCGGAGCGGCGGUGAUUUCUGUUGUCGUAGCGACCACGAUCGUCAUCUCGCCGUGAGGGCUGGUCGGUGCCUCUCGCAUCGUCUCGGAUUAGUUUUUCUGCGUCAUCAGCGUCGGCAUAAUUUUUAGCCGUGGCGAGGAGCUCUGCUACCGUUGAUGGGCGCUUACGCAACAGCUUGUUCCUCAGCGCUUCAUGGAAACGCAAGCCCUUGAUAAAGGCUGAUAUGGCCUCGUCAUGAGAAAUCUUCGGGAUUUUGAGGCGCAUAUCCGAGAAUCGUCGGAUAUAAUCGCGCAGAGGUUCAUUCUUCCUGUCUCUUAUCCUUUCAAGGUCAUAUUUGUUUCCGGGCUGCUCACAUGUGGCGAUGAAGUUGUCGAUGAAGGCCUGUCGUAGCUCUUCCCAAGAGUCGAAGGAGUCCUCGGGUAAGCCGAGAAGCCACUGAUGACCGGCCUGGUCGAGGACUACGGGGAAGUAGUUAGCCAUGACGUGCUCAUCUCCUGCCGCUGAUCGGACGGCGAUUUCGUAGAGGGUGAUCCAGUUCUCUGGAUUUUCCUUGCCGUCGUAUUUUUUAAGUUUUUCGAGCUUGAAAUUGCGGGGCCACACGACCUGGCGGAGGUGUGAGGAGAACUGCCUUAGGCCCGGAGGACCAUGGGUCGCAUCGUACUCGAUGCGGCGCAGGUUUUCGUGGACUGCUCUCUCUGCGGCGCGCCUGUUGAUGCGGUCCCGGGCAUCUUUGGGAGGGAUGUUGUGGCGGAGAUCCCUGUGUUGAUCUUCUUCUUCUUGGCCGCGUACGCGGUUCUGCUGGCGGCGGCCAUCGGCGUCCCGACCACCAUCGUCGCGCCGUGAGUCCCCUCGACGGUUGUCGGGGGAGCGGCUGCGGCGACGCCUACUGGGUGAGGCCCGGCUACGAUGAGUCUGGUCGGAGGCGGCUUCCGUAUAAGAGACGUCCUGGACUCUCUUGAGCAGAGUGGCUGUCUGCCCCAUCGCGGCGAUCAGGUGUGCUCGGAUACUGGUCCGGACUCCCUGGCAUUCGGGGGUGUCAGGAAGCCGAUCCAGGUUGGCCAUGGCGACAGCCACGUUGGCGCUUGGCGUUUUGUAGACCGGCUGGUCCCCGACCAUAUCAAAGGCAUCGUUGAGGUUGCCUGGUGGCGUCUGUUGUUGCUCGUCCGCACGCCGUCGGGCGCGAUCGGCGUUACGCUGUUCGCGGAGUUGCCUCUGGUCGUCUGUUUCUCCGUCAACAGCCGGUUCGUCGGCGCUGACAUUGAAUACGAUAUCCCCUCGCCGGGGGGGGAAUAUCGGGAAUCGGUCGAAACCCGGAGGGUGUGAAGGAAAAUCCAGGUCGUAGCCCUCGUCUUCGGUAUUCACAACCUCGGUGGGGACGGAGCCGGUGCUUGAGUUGGUGCUAGAAACCUGGCCGUCCCGUAGCUCUCGGAUGGUCACCAUGUUGACAUGGUGACGAUUGUUCCUUGUCGGCGACCAGCCCGCUUUGCUAAAAACGGAUUGGACAUGCUGUGAGUAAACAGAGGCCGAGUUGCUCAGGCCGCAAGGAUAGUCUUCCUUUUUGAGCUCGACGGAUCGUCCUGAGGGGGUCGAGGUUAUCGUCAGGGACGUUCCCAGCCGUUCGUGUGUGGCGACACGAGUUGGCCGGCGGAAUUUCGAAAAAUCCGCUCGAGCAGCUUGGUCGGGCCGGCGCAGAACUCCAUCUAUUAGUUGGGAGACUUCGAGUAGCUUGGAGUCAGCGCGAUCGAGCGCUUGGAGGAGGUCCGAGCAGUCGAUCUCCUUUCCCCUGUAGAGCGGGAACGGUGGUCGGGAGCUUGGUGCCGUCAUGCGUGUGGUCGGAGACGGCGUGAUCUCAGAUUGGAUCUGGAUCUCUUUCGGAACCGUGGUCGCAAAACCGCCGUUGCACGUCGUCCACGUGAUCUGGCCGACGGUGAACGUGAGGCCUUCGGGCACGGUCGCGGAAGCUGGGAUCGUGACCAUCUUGUUCGCCGGAAAAGUUGCACGCACACCCCCUACCUGGCGCGCCACUGUCGACGAAAGCUGGUCGGCAGUCUACCUUGGGGUAUACCCACGGUAGUAGUUUAUCGGUAGACGGUGCGCGAACUACGAACUCGAUGGUGACGCAAGACACGGACAAGCUUUUUAUCCAGGUUCGGCCGCCGAGUUGGCGUAAUACCUACGUCCUGCGUCUGGUUGUAUUGAUUUGUGUUGAGAGAAUAUGAUAUGUCCUAGGGGGGUCCCUUGCCCCUCCUUAUAUAGUCUGGAGGGCAGGGUUACAGAUCUGGAAACUAAUCCUAGUCGGUUACAAUUGCCAUGGAUAAUUCGAUAUCAAUUCCUAUUCUAACCGACUAGAAUCCUGCUUGAUCUCCACAUCUUGUUUCCUUACGCGAAACUCCAGGUUGUCGGAUCAAGCCUUGAACUCGUCUCGUAAUGGGCCAAGGCUCCUGGCCCAAGUCUAGCCGUAAGGGUAUAGGGGUUUAUACCCCCACAGUAGCCAUAGAUGAGGCCAGUGCGGAUCUCAAAGCUUCCAUUCCCCAUAUUGACAGCGGGCCCAGUCGGCAUGUUGGCAACAGCGUGAGUGGAGUAGUCACAGAGUGACUUGGCCAUAGCGAUUGGUGCGGUUGGUGCUGGAACGGUUGAUUCGCUUGCCGGUUGCGUAGCAGAAGAAGAGACGGUACGAAUCCUUCUCUUCCUUAGGAGUGUUUCUAUUGACACCGUUUUUGGACAUGUACCCAGGAUCGGUAGAGUGUAGAUCGGCAAGAUAGGGUAACAGUAACUGGUCUGCAGGGGAGUUGCCGAUGAGGGAGGUUGCCGAUGAAGGGACAGCUGAAUGAGACUAAGUCCGUGGGUGGUGACGCAUUCAUGCUGAUGGUCAAGCAUUAGCUUUUGCCGAUGGCUACGAUGAGGAGUCUACCGAUGAUUUAGAAGGAGAACCUGAAGGUUGCCGAUUGGUCCAUGGUGGUGUCCCAGUUUGUCACGGGAGGAUAGUUUUGUGUUUUCCUUAGUUAUUUAGAUCGUUUUGUAUACGGAUUCUGUUUAAUUUAGAAUUCGAAUCCUAGUCGUGUCUGAUUGUAGCUCUUUGAGCAGGGUAUAAAUGUAGACCCUAGGGCCUUGUAAUGAGACAAGAAUCAAUCAAUCAAACAGAAGUUUUUACUCAUAUUCUAGCAUCUACUUUUUCGAUGACUUUGUCAUAUUUUCUUUUUCAUUACGAGUUCUUAGGAGUUCGUCGACUUAAGCUCGACGUAUUCUCGAGUUCCGCGUGAAUACCUCUUGGCCGUGGCAUCCAGGCGCAUCGCUGUUGUCGGGACCAAAGUAUUCGAGUUAUCACCUUUGCCGAUAGUAAGGUCAAAUCGGCUCGCAUGCCUUAACGUUUGAAUCGGGUAUUAGCCCUUUGUGUUUGCAGAUCUACUUUUUGCAUCAACAAAUCUUUUGGCAUGCCCGGUGGGACAAGAUUCAAGAUCAAGAUCGACAUGUCAACUACUGAGUUCGAUCAGGAGAACGUCAUCCCUGUGACGGAAGCCAAUCUCAAUGAUGAGCAGAAACAAGCUAUUGCGAAAGCCAUGGAGGAUUUCAAGCAGCAAUGUUUGAGAUCCUUCAGGAUCAACAGGAGCGGCGAAGUGAUUGUUGACACUUGCUAACACCACUUGAAUACUAGGUUGUCAUCCCCAGCAUGGCACUAGAGCGUACUAUGGUAUUUAUACGCACACAGAUAAUCCGCAAGCGCACGGAUACCAUUGAAGCUUUUACCCGGUUAAAGGUUUUAUCGUAUCCACAGGGAAACGGAAGAACUGAUCUACGCUCUAACUUAACCAAGAUAGAUAGAUAGGUGUGAAUAGGUAAGAUGGUAGAAUUGAAUAAGAACAAUAUUAGAGGUAAGAUAACAGUGAGUGAUAAUAUGGGAAUAGAGAGUAGAGCAAUAUAGUAUAUAGGCGAUGGUAGCAGAAUAGAGAGGAUAACUAUGGUUUCUCUACUUCAAAGGGGUAUGUCUAUGUCUGGGACGAACCACGUGAUAAGAGUACACCACAAAGGAUGCUUAUCCUUAGGCCGAUAAACCCUACUCGUCCUGCUAACGAGAGGUGGACUACAGACAACCAACAUAACUGUCACCUACGCGGCCCACCACACGAUCCAGCUAGAAAGGGGAUAUCCACAAGUAAUCUAGGUCUAAGCACCACGCUUACACCUAUACUACAACUCUAACCUACAGUGUCCUAUAGAUUAGAAGUACUCAAAAGAGUUGUGAACCAGAACAUACAUGAUUAGUAAUUGCAUAAUGAAUUAGAAGUAUAUUACCAGAGUCAUCCCAUGAGCAAGCUUGAUUAGAGCUUGAUCAUGACGAAGUACAACCGGAGGAAGAACCGACAGGCCGGCCUCUCCUCUAAUCCUCCUUCGCUCUCCAUCUUGCUACUAUCUAGAUCUACUCUAGUUUAGAGAAGAGAGGAGAGCUCUCAUCCCUAAACCCUGGCUUAUGCUCUGUCUAUGAAUAAUGAAUAAUGAUCAAGGGGUGCCUCCUCCAGGGGCCAGGGGGUCUGGGUAUAUAGUCCCCUCAAGUGAACCUGGGCCGUCGGAUCAAACCGACAUUGAUUGAACGGUUAUUCUUGAUCCUUUAGGUCGGUGGAGAUCUCCCGAGAGAAAGAGUCCUGAUUGGGCUCCAAGUCAGGGCGGGCGCCCAGGGUAGGAGGGCGGGCGCCCUGCCUCUGGCCCUGUUCGGCCUCCGCUUCCUUCCCGUGGCUUCUGGAGUCUUCUAGAUAUAAGAUAAUUGCGCAGCACGUUAAUAUCUCUAUGUAAUCCCGAUGUGUGGGCCUUUCUUCCGUAUUUCCUGAUAACCCCCUGCAGAAAUAGACGAACACCAAAACUCGUGGAAUUCUGUCAGAUAAAACCCUAAGUCUAGAUGUUGAUUUCAUUUGGAUCCUUUUCUUUGUUUAUUUGAUAAUUAAAUUUGAUACUUAAGGACCAUCAACAAACUCCCCCAAGCUUACCUCUUGCUCGUCCCUGAGCAAGGAUAGACUCAGUAGUGGAUCAGAAGUUGUUGCAAUAUCUUAAAAAUUUGACGGUACACAUGCUUUUAAAUAAGAUCUCAUCUCUGAGUUAGAGUAAACUGUCAAGAACUAAAACUUACAUACUUUACCUUUCAGCAUGGGACUUGUAACCGUCACUUCUGUCUUGAGUAGUUAAAAGAUAGAACAGUCAAGCCAAGUGCCAUGUCUCUUAUUCUUGAUCAGCUAUAGCUCUGGAGUUUUUGCAGAUUUUCAAAUAAAACUCAGAGAUUUCUUGUAUGACUCUCUAAAUCUCUCUUUUAUGGUAUUUCUGGAUCCUUACCAAGGUAGUGAUGGUAUAUGCCUUCUUUCAAGAUAUGUGGUAUUUGUGGUAUAAGGCAUAGUGACAUUGCCUUCUCUCUCACCCUACUCUAAUAAGACUUUAAUAUCUGGAGCUCAUAGGUGGGAGAUAAAGUAUACAUACUUACAAGACAUUUAUUGUAUAGUCAAACCAUGGAUCCAAAAAACAAAUCAAUAAGCCAAAUCAAGAUGUGCAUGUGUGGCGAAUGAAUGGUGUAUGGUGAUGAUGGUGAUAACAAUGGUGAAAGUCUAAUUCUACUUUUGCUCUUUUGAGGGGAUACAUACUUUCCUUGCUUUUUGAAACUUUAUUUCCUCGUUUAUUUUUUUUCUUUUCUUCUCUUUUCUUUUAUUUUUUUUCAGAGCACUCAUCUCUUGAUAUAAUAUAGCAAGUGGCAGUAGCAAGAUAACUUGAGCAUUUAUUUCACAAGGGAAAACAGAAAUAUUUUUGGCUAUUCUCUCCCGGAUUAGGAGUAGAAUAUUUUUGGGUGGUUCUGGAGAUGGACAUGGAUGGAUAUAUGUCGAUGGUAGUUCCGAAGUAGAAGUAGCAUAUAUGAGUGAACGUGCAAGUGAAUCUUGAUUUAACCACAUGACAAGCUCCUAAGGGUCUACACAGCUUGACCAUACUCAAUGCUCAUAAGCAGUAAAUAGUAAAUGUGUGGCUCAAAGUCUAGCAAGCAUGUAUAUAUGGCUAUGGUAGGAAUUUAAACUCUCAUCAUACAGGAACUCAUCAUGCAAUAUUUUAAAGACUUUUCUAAGAUAAAAAUUCUCUAGAAUUCUAGCAUCUCUAGGAACAUAUAAACUGCAGCUCAACCUUCCCAUAUCAUAUCCGUUAACAACUUAGACUUCAGAUCAAGUUUUCAUCCCACAAGUUUAGGUCUAGAGCAAGCUUCAAAUUAUAACAGUUAUGUCUAAACUUGAAAGAGAACUUCAAAUUUUAAAAAUUAGGCAGAGCAACUAUUCAUCAUAUCCAUGCUUGAGUUUUAUUUCGAUACAGAUUAGCAUAGCCACUUUAUUUAUUUAUUAAACACACUAAGCAAAAGAUAUAUAUAUGUAAACACAAAAUCUUUAUUUGGUUUUUCAUAGUUAUGUAUAACUAUAUUUUAAUACAGUAUAAGUAUAAAGAUAGAUAGAUAGAAACACUUAUCGGGAUAAAUAGGGGUGCUCUCCCCCAAGCUGAAUUUUGACGUAAUUUCCCUUGAUGUAGCUAGCAGGUGGCAGAGGUGUAUUUGAGAGUCAGCAGCAUUCUGACAGCGAUUAGAAUGUCCUCCGUCUGCUAGUCUUCUUGAUUCUUAAAUCCUGUGGAGCUCAAAUAGACAACAAAGCUUGUGGAACUGAUUAAGUGUUAGCAUAAAUAUCUAGCCUUCAUCAUGUUGAGCUUCCUCAAUAAAUAUUACUCCCUGUUUUUAUAUUUUUAUUUUAUCAAGCAGAAAAUAAAUAUUUAUUUUAUUUUUAUGCCACCACAGUGAAGGUACUCAUCGGUUUUAUGCCACUCGUAUACUCACAUGGGGCUUAGUAUUUUUUAACAUUUUUAUUUUCUUUUCAAGAUAGCAUGAUUAACUAAUAAUCUAUUUAAGGAAAGUAAAUAAUUAAAGGGAAAAGGGAAUGCAGAAAGGAUAAAUAUGGAUAACUACCGAUCUUACCUUUCGGCGAGGGUUCAAUGUUUUAAGUCUUCUUAACAAGACUUCUCACCGUGUUCAUUCUUCAGGUGCGUCAUUUGAUUCAGGUGCGGACCUUGACGUCUGCACCUCUUCGUUUGCCCAGCAGUUUGAAGUGUGGCGUUGGCAGUAUCCUGCUCAGUGUGUUUGUACUCGUAGAUCCAGGUCCUUCACUUGGUAGAGUCUGAGAGUUAUAAAACUCCUCCGUGUUUUGCUCGAAGUGUACCUGCUCAUAGAGAUAAGGCAGAGAUCAAGUGCAUGGGUCCUGUUGGUGAAAAACACCAACAGAACCUAAAGUGUAUUUGUUCUUCUCUAACCUUAAGCAUAGUGAGCAAGACAAAAUCAAUGGAUGAUAAGUUCAUGAGUGUAGCACUUAUAACAUUUGUCAGAUCAGAUCGCUCAACCUUAUGGAAAGAUAAUCUAUCUAUGUAUAUGUCUUUUUCUUUAUAUCUCUCAAUGAUUGAAUGUGUAACAUUUUAGCUCAUAUGAUUAGGAGUGUGUGAUCAUGGAGGUAGUACUAAGAACAAGGAUUAAAGGACUAAACAUGUUGAAUCAGUUGGGUUGGUUAAUCUAGAGUUGUAAAUCAUACAUGUUUGUCUCUUUUAUUCAUAUGAACGCCAGAACCAAGGAGAAGCUUAUAAAAGUGAUAGUCAAGUACCUUAAGAUGUUACCUUGCUUGAAGAGUGAUGGUACAGUAUCACCUUGUGGAAGCUUUCCUUUCUUAGCGGUUGUGCAUCGUGUUUGUGGCACCCUCCAUGGAUCAUCUCUAUGAUGAAUGAGCUAUGUCCUUCUUGUGCAAAUUGCUAAACUUCAUGUGUCACUCUCUUCGUCUCUGAUGUGAGUUUAUCUCAGGACUUCCCAAAUCGAUAUUGAAAGUUUUUCUGCAGGGGUUAGUCGGACAAAAAUAUACCAAUGUCUACACAAGCAGUUUUUAGUUCAAUAACCAAACUAGACUCCAUGUCUAAUCAGAUUAAGGAAGGCUGUUUAACCUAAGCACCAUGCUUAAUUUAAAAGCCAAUAGAAGUAUGUGCAGUACUUCCAAACUAACACUUACUAGUAAAUAGACAAAGGUAACAUGACAGCAUUUAUAGAGAUCUACUCAAGUGGAGAUGAAGUAGUGUGAUUAGUAUUUAACAAAUUGAGCAUGUCUUAAAGGUAGGGACAACCAACAUAGCAACAUGGCAAAGGAUGUUUUAUGUAAAGUACUCCCCCAAGCUUGAAUUUUGCAGAAUUCAAGUUUGGAUGAAUUCAAUUCAGUGUUGCAUGAUGAUUGGUUGGACAUACCUUGUACUUGCUUGUCAUUCAUCUGAUCUUCUUGUUCCAAUCCUGGAAAGGUUAGUGACAAGAAUACCCGAAGGAAUAUUUUUACAAUUAUCCGUAUAUGCUCAAUACACAAGGUAAUGUUGCAAAUAAUUUAAAACUCAUGUUAUGAUUUGAUCAGUGCUUAUUUUAGGACACCAAGCUUGUCCUUGGGAAACCAUCAAUUUAUGUCGGCGAAGUGGUUUCCCUUCCAACGCUGACCUAAAUUAAGAUCAACUCAACGAUAUCUGCAAUAUUUAUUAUAGACAUAUGCAUCGACAACCGCCCUUUUAAAGUUUUUAUAAAUAGAAAGGAAGAGGGGGUUGGAGAUCUCAAAUGUGGUGAUGUUGGAGAGACCAAUAGAUUUGGAAGAUGUUGCAUAUGAGCAUGGAGUAAACAAAGUGGCUAUGAAAUAAAUUCCAUGCUCAUUAAUGUUAUCUUCGUCUCCAAUCUGAAUGUUCAGAGUUUCUCUUGGAUUGGUCUCACUUAUGUCCUCUUCUAUAGUUGGAUGAAUCCCAUCUUCAAAGGGAGUCAAGAACUCACCAUUUGAAAUUGAGCCAAAGUCAGAAUCCAGUAAGGCUUCUUCCUUAUCCAUCCAUUCUACACAUUCUAGCCAUUUAGAACUUGUGAUCAGGAAAGGGGAGGUGUUAGAAUUUUCAAUAUGGCUUAGCUCUCCUUCACUUGAUAUGUCAUCCUCGACUUCUUCAUAACAGGAACCAGGACACUCUCUAAGAGAACCAUUAUUGCGAGUAUUUGAAUUAUCCCUACUUGAAGGUCUCUUAUGGAACCAGAAGUCUAAACCAUCAGCAUCUGAAAGAUUUAAGGUCGGAAUUCCUUCCUCCCUUGGAGAAUUUUGGGGUAUUGAUGGUUUAGGAUCGAUAGCUAAAGUUUGGAAUUGAAGUGGUUGUGAUCUGGCUAUCGAAACUUCUUCUUUUUGUCUAGGAACUGGUUCUGUCUCUUUCUCAGGGAUAUAAAAGCUAGGAGACUUUCCACUUAAUAAAUCAAUCAAAUUCCAAGCUUCACUAGCAGGUAGGUAAUAGAAGGAUCCUCUAGAGGCUGUAUUCAAGGUUUGCUUAUUUUCCCCACUAAGGCCUCAAAAAAUUGAAUUAGAAGAACUUCUUCUGGAAUAGAAAGCUUUGGGCCAGUGAGAGUAAGGUUAAUAAAGCGGUCCUAUGAUUUCCUAAGAGAUUCUUCUUCCAGUUGUCUAAAAGAAAUAAUCUCACGCCGAAGUUCCGCCACUUUGGAGAUUGGAAAAUAUUUAGAAAAAAAACUACUAUAUAACUCCUUCCAAUCUCUAUGAACACUCUCUAUUUUGAGUUUGUACCAAUGUCUAGCUUUUCCCGUUAGAGAGAACGGAAAGAGCUUCCAUUUAAGGGUCUCAUCGGACAUUCCUUCUAUGCGGAGGAGGUCACAGACUCGAUAAAACUCUCUUAGGUGUGUGUAUGGGUUUUCCUCACCUUCUCCUGAGAAAGGUUGUUUUUGAACAAAUUCUAUGUAUUCGGGGUCUAUCUCAAAACUAGAUGCUAUGAUAGGUUUUGAAGAUUUUGGUGGUUCGAGAUGUGUGCCCGUAGGUCUAAGAAAUUCAUAGAUAGACAUGUUUGAAUUCAUGAUAGACCAGAGAUCAAGGAUUAGAUAAGAAGAAAGAUUAGCAGAGAUGAGGCAAAGGAUAAAAGGAAAUAUAUAUUUUUUUUAAUUAUUAUUAUUUUUUAGAAAAUGAUUAAGCUAGUUCGUAGUCAACUCAGCAACCGUUUCCCCGGCAACUGCGCAAAAAAUGCUUGUUGACACUUGCUAACACCACUUGAAUACUAGGUUGUCAUCCCCAGCAUGGCAUUAGAGUGUACUAUGGUAUUUAUACGCACACAGAUAAUCCGCAAGCGCACGGAUACCAUUGAAGCUUUUACCCGGUUAAAGAUUUUAUCGUAUCCACAGGGAAACGAGAGAACUGAUCAACGCUCUAACUUAACCAAGAUAGAUAGAUAGGUGUGAAUAGGAAAGAUGGUAGAAUUGAAUAAGAACAAUAUUAGAGGUAAGAUAAAAGUGAGUGAUAAUAUGGGAAUAGAGAGUAGAUCAAUAUAGUAUAUAGGCGAUGGUAGCAGAAUAGAGAGGAUAACUAUGGUUUCUCUACUUCAAAGGGGUAUGUCUAUGUCUGGGACGAACCACGUGAUAAGAGUACACCACAAACGAUGCUUAUCCUUAGGCAGAUAAACCCUACCCGUCCUGCUAACGAGAGGUGGACUACAGAGGACCAACGUAAUAGUCACCUACACGGCCUACCACACGAUCCAGCUAGACAGGGGAUAUCCACAAGUAAUCUAGGUCUAAGCACCACGCUUACACCUAUACUACAACUCUAACCUAUAGCGUCCUAUAGAUUAGAAGUACUCAAAAGAGUUGUGAACCAGAACAUACAUGAUUAGUAAUUGCAUAAUGAAUUAGAAGUAGAUUACCAGAGUCAUCCCAUGAGCAAGCUUGAUUAGAGCUUGAUCAUGACAAAGUACAACCGGAGGAAGAACCGACAGGCCGGCCUCUCCUCUAAUCCUCCUUCGCUCUCCAUCUUGCUACUAUCUAGAUCUACUCUAGUUUAGAGAAGAGAGGAGAGCUCUCAUCCCUAAGCGCUAGCUUUUGCUCUGUCUAUGAAUAAUGAAUAAUGAUCAAGGGGUGCCUCCUCCAGGGGCUAGGGGGUCUGGUUAUAUAGUCCCCUCAAGUGAACCUGGGCCGUCGGAUCAAACCGACAUUGAUUGAACGAUUAUUCUUGAUCCUUUAGGUCGGUGGAGAUCUCCAGAGAGAAAGAGUCCUGAUUGGGCUCCAAGUCACGGCGGGUGCCCAGGGCAGGAGGGCGGGCGCCCUGCCUCUGGCCCCGUUCGGCCUCCGCUUCCUUCCCGUGGCUUCUGGAGUCUUCUAGAUGUAAUAUAAUUGCGCAGCACGUUAAUAUCUCUAUGUAAUCCCGACGUGUGGGCCUUUCUUUCGUAUUUCCUGAUAACCCCCUACAGAAAUAGACAAACACCAAAACUCGUGGAAUUCUGUCAGAUAAAACCCUACGUCUAGAUGUUGAUUUCAUUUGGAUCCUUUUCUUUGUUUAUUUGAUAAUUAAAUUUGAUACUUAAGGACCGUCAAUAGUGAUCUAGAAGGAAGCACUGUCGAUGCCUCGGCAGGUUACUUUUGAAGCCAAUCCUGGUAAACUUCAAGACAUGGUUGAGAAUGCUAUUAACCGUGCUUUGAUCAAUCAAGAUGGUGUGCUGUCCAAUACGGUUUUCAAUGCCAUGGCUAGAACUUUCAAAGAAGGACAGUUGCCACCAAAUUAUGUGGGCCCUUCUCAUCAUCAGCCAGGAUCACCGGUGGUCACAGCUCCAUCGACUGCUACAGCCGCUGCGGGCACAGAAACUACUGUUUCUCCAAGCACGUUAGGAGUCACUAACGCACAAUCUACGCCGAUGACGACCAAUCCAUCGACUUCAGAUGGGCAGAUUAAGCUUGCUACAGAUCUAUUCGCAUCGGCAAUGUCGGGAUCGGUGCCUUCUCCUAACUGGUGGGGUUAUGGUAUGCCUCCAGAGUUGACGUUGAAGACACCUAGCAUAUCUCAGACGGCUGAUGUGAGAGGCAAGGCUCCUAUGGCAUCGGGACCUCCAAAUAUGCCGAUGAAUCAGAGUCCCCAGUAUACUACAACCACUACUGCAAGGCCUUACACUGGGAAUUCUCAAGAUCCAACGCUCCAGAUGCCUAAUGCAUCGGCAGAUUCAGUGCCGACGCACAGAGGUUUAUGACUCAGUCAGGGUAUGUCAAUUCAAUGAUGAUGCCUAAUUACCAGACGUCGGCAGGAUCUAUGCCGAUGAAUGCUAAUAGUGGAUGGCCUGAGCAGCAAGUCUUUCCACAAAUGCCCCAACAGCAUCAUCAAGCUACAGGGUUUCAACAAGGCCAGAUCUACCCUGGAUUCCAGAAUCAAGGGUUGGUCAACCAGCCGAUGAAUCUCGGUGGUCAGCAGUUUGGUGGUCAGUAGAUCGGUGGUCAGCAGAUUGGUGGCCAGAUGAUUAACCCAAUGUUCUAUGCAGAUCGCGCACCACAUAGACACGUGGAAGCAUAUCAGCAGAUCCCAGAUCCGCAACCGCCUCAUCGGCAAGAUGCCGAUGCUUAUUGGGCCGAUAAGAUUGCUGAAGUAAUGAGAGACCAAGUUGGGACAAAACCCAAAGUCAACACUUACUCUUAUCGGACACCGUAUCCUCCUGCAUAUGAUUUAAUCCCGCUUCCAAAUCGGUACAAAGUGGCGGAUUUUACUAAGUUCUCUGGGCAGGAUGAUACAUCGACCAUGGAGCACGUCAACAGGUUCAUCAUUCAGUGUGGAUAAGCUGCUAACAGGGACAAGUUAAGGGUUCGCUUGUUCUCGUCAUCAUUAUCUGGAUCGGCUUUCACUUGGUUUAUAUCAUUACCUCCUAACUCAGUGAUUACUUGGGCCGAUCUAGAGAAGCAAUUCCACAAAUACUUCUUUUUCUGAAGUCCAUGAGAAGAAGACCACCGAUUUGGUCAAAUUGAAGCAACGCAAUGAUGAAUCGGUUGAGAGUUUUGUGCAGAGAAUAUGGGAGGUCAAGAACAAAUGCUAUAGUCUAGUUUUGGAUGAUCGACAGCUAGCCGAUUUGGCUUUCCAGGGUUUGUUGCCACGUAUCAGGGACAAGUAUGCAUCUCAAGAGUUCGAAAGCUUAAGUCAUUUGGUGCAGAGAAUUUCUGAUCAAGAUAUCAGGCCUUUUGAGCCCAAGAGAGCAUGGAACAAAAAGGUAUCAUUUGUGGAUGAAGCAGCAAGCUCGGACUCUGAUGAGGAACCAGUCACCGGCUUGGCAGAAUGGGUAAAGAAUAAGAAGCCGAUGUCUUGCCCUUUUGGGCACAAGGAGCCGGAGAAGUUCGCGUUUGACAUCACCAAAGCCGAUAGGAUAUUUGACUUCCUACUUUAGGAAGGUCAGAUCAAAUUGUGACCCAAUCAUGUAAUCCCAUUGGCUGAAGAAUUAAAGAAGAUGAAAUACUGCAAAUGGCACAAUGCAACUUCUCACAGCACCAAUGAGUGCAAAGUUUUUAGACAACAGCUGCAAUCGGCUAUAGAAUCUGGGAGGAUCAAAUUUGACACCUCCAAAACUCAGAAGCCGAUGAAGAUUGAUCAACAUCCUUUCCCAACAAACAUGCUGGACGCUAAGGGAAAGGCCAAGGUCUUGACAUCGGAAGCAGCUGAAAGAAGUGCAUCAAUGGAUCCUCAGCAUCAGAUCACUACUGCCGAUGCAAAAGGAAAAGGCUUAAUCCAGGAAAGAAAUAGCUCAGGAAGGCCUCCCCGAUCUGGUAUUGUCAUAACUCAUAGAAGGCCUAAGGAGACUUGGCAGCAAUGUGAGGAUCGAUAUCGGCGCCAGCAAGAAGACUAUCAUCGGGAAGAAGAAAGACGCCGACAAGAGUGGAAUCGGCAUAGGGAUCACUGGAAUUGUCCGUUCUUCGUCCAUUGUUGGGAGGAAAAUAUCAAGCUUCCUACUGUUAGAGACUGCCCGGAAUGUAAUGGUUAUGAUCGGUAUGAUAGAUCAAAUCGGCAGUAUCAGAACAAUGACCGCCGGUUUGAUGGGCUGAUUAGGGGGAGAGCGUCGGUUCAUGAUCGGCUGGGGGGCAGGCUCAGUGUGCAUGAUAGGCUUGGUGACCGUGUUGAAUAUUUUCCUAGGAACCAAGAAGAACUUGAGGAGAUGGCUAAUGCAUGGGUUCCCGAUGAGUUCAUAUUUUGCAGGGACGCUAACACUUAUCGGAUGGAGUCAAGGGAAAAUCGUCUCCCAUCGGUAAAGCAGCAACAACUUCCUCCAUAGUGUCCAGAGGGAUUGACCAGGGCACAGAAGAGAAGAUUGCAGCGCGAAAGACGAGAGGAGCUAAGCAAGGGCGAGAACUCUGGCCAACCUAGAGAUCAACAACAAUCAGAUCCUAAGGGGAAAGGGCCAUCGGCAGAUGUCAACAUGGUAUUUAUGUUGUCGAUGGAAUUCCUUGCACCGUCCAGUGAUGAUGAGGGGGUGGAGUUUUCCGACCAGAUAGCUCAGUUGGCUCUAGAUCCGAUGACGGCUAUCUUUGAAAAGCCUGCCGACAAUGAAAGGCAGUAUCUCAAAGCUCUGUUUGUCAAAGGGAGAGUUGAUGGUCAGCCCAUGACUAAAAUUUUAAUUGAUGGUGGAGCUGCUAUCAACAUCAUGCCAUAUGCAGUGUAUCGGAAGCUUGGAAAAGGAGAUCAGGAUUUGACCAAGACCGAUAUGAUGCUCAAAGACUUUGAAGGGAAUGUGUCUCCGGUUAAGGGAGCCAUCUGUGUUGAAUUGACUAUCGGCAGCAUGACCUUGCCGACAACUUUCUUUGUGAUCAGUGGAAAAGGUGCUUAUAAUUUGCUGUUGGGAAGAGAUUGGAUUCAUGCCAAUUGUUGCAUCCCGCCUACAAUGCACAAGUGCUUGGUCCAGUGGGUAGGUGACAAGAUUGAGAUUGUCCCGAGAGAUUCUUCUUAUGUCAUCGCAUUGGCACAGGCGGACACCUAUGAAAGAACUAGGUGUAUCUUGGGAGAAAUUUGGGAGAAGGAUUUUCUCAAACUUGCCGAUUAUGAAAUUCCACCGAUCCAAGCUGUCGGUUCUGAUGAAGGUUUUUAAUGGAUAGGUUCGCCGAUGAUGGAAAAUUAGGCCAGGGAUUCACAUCGGCCGAUGAUUUGGUAGAGGUAGAUAUAGGUAGUGGUGAUAAGCCUAGACCUACUUUUAUUAGUGCUAAGUUAAAUUCCGAGUGUAAGCAACAGUUAACCAAUUUGUUAAAGGAAUAUAAAGAUUGCUUUGCUUGGGAUUAUACUGAGAUGCCUGGUUUGGACCGAUCAAUUAUUGAACAUCGGUUGCCUAUCAAGUCUGGAUUUCGGCGACAUCAACAACCAGCUCGCCGAUGUAAUCCUAAUAUUCUUCCUGGCAUCAAGGCCGAAAUAACUAAACUUAUCGAGGCUAAAUUUAUUCGGCAAUGUCAGUAUGCCGAGUGGAUCUCCAAUGUUGUUCCAGUCUACAAGAAAAAUGGGAAGCUUCGGGUUUGCAUUGAUUUUAGGAAUCUCAAUAAAGCUACGCCGAUGGAUGGUUACCCAAUGCCAGUUGCCGAUCUGCUAGUUGAUGCCGCGGCUGGGCAUCGGAUCAUCAGCUUUAUGGAUGGCAAUGCAGGAUACAAUCAGAUAUUCAUGGUUGAAGAGGAUAUUCCAAAAACUGCAUUUAGAUGUCCUGGUCAUGUUGGGUUGUUUCAAUGUAUAGUCAUUGUUGACACUUGCUAACACCACUUGAAUACUAGGUUGUCAUCCCAGCAUGGCACUAGAGUGUACUAUGGUAUUUAUACACACACAGAUAAUCCGCAAGUGCAUGGAUACCGAUGUAGCUUUUACCCAGUUAAAGGUUUUAUCGUAUCCAGAGGGGAAACGGGAGAACCAACUACGCUCUAACCUAACCAAGAUAGAUAGAUAGGUGUAAAUAGGAAAGAUGGUAGAAUUGAAUAAGAACAGUAUUAAAGCUAAGAUAACAAUGGGUGAUAAUAUGGGAAUAGAGAGUAGAGCAAUUCUAGUAUAUGGACGAUGGUAGUAGAAUAGAGAGGAUAACUAUGGUUUCUCUACUUCAAAGGGGUAUGUCUAUGUCUGGGACGAACCAUGUGAUAAGAGUACACCACAAAGGAUGCUUAUCCUUAGGCCGAUAAACCCUACCCGUCCUGCUAACGAGAGGUGGACUACAGAGGACCAACGUAACUAUCACCUACGCGGCCUACCACACGAUCCAGCUAGAUAGGGGAUAUCCACAAGUAAUCUAGGUCUAAGCACCACGCUUACACCUAUACUACAACUCUAACCUGUAGGGUCCUAUAGAUUAGAAGUACUCAAAAGAGUUGUGAACCAGAACAUACAUGAUUAGUAAUUGCAUAAUGAAUUAGAAGUAGAUUACCAGAGUCAUCCCAUGAGCAAGCUUGAUUAGAGCUUGAUCAUGACGAAGUACAACCGGAGGAAGAACCGACAGGCCAGCCUCUCCUCUAAUCCUCCUUCGCUCUCCAUCUCGCUACUAUCUAGAUCUACUCUAGUUUAGAGAAGAGAGGAGAGCUCUCAUCUCUAAAUCCUAGCUUUUGCUCUCUCUAUGAAUAAUUAAUAAUGAUCAAGGGGGUGCCUCCUCCAGGGGCCAGGGGUUCUGGUUAUAUAGUCCCCUCAAGUGAACCUGGGCCGUUGGAUCAAACCGACAUUGAUUGAACAGUUAUCCUUGAUCCUUUAGGUCGGUGGAACAUCUUCCCGAAAGAGAGUCUUGAUCCAACUCUGUAGCUGGGCGGGCGCCCUGCCCCCGAGCCCGCUCGGCUUCCCAUUCGUUCCCGUGGCUUCUGGAGUCUUCUAGAUGAUAGAAAAUUGAGCGGCACGUUAAUAUCUCUAUGUAGACCCGACGUGUGGGCCUUUCUUCCGUAUUUCCAGAUAACCCCCUGCAGAAAUAGACAAACUCCAAAACUCAUGGAAUUCUGUCAGAUAAAACCCUAAGUUUGGGUGUUGGUUGCAUUUGGAUCCUUUUCUUUAUUUAUUUGAUGAUUAUAUUUGGUACUUAAGGACCGUCAACAACUCCCCCAAGCUUACCUCUUGCUCGUCCCUGAGCAAGGAUGGACUCAAGAGUUUCUACAGUGGUUUUAUGCCUUAAAGGUAUACAUGCGUUUAAACAAGAUCUUGUCUCUAUGUUAGGGUAAAUUGUUAAGAUUUAAACUUACUCAUAUUACCUUCCACCAUGGGGCUUGCAACCGUCACUUGUGUCUUGAGCAGUUAAAAGAUAGAACGGUCAAGUCCAGCACCAUGUCUCUUGUUCUUUGAUCAACUAUAGCUCUCGAGUUUUUGUAGAUUUUCAAAUAAAACUUAGAGAUUCCUUGUAUGACUCUCUCUAGUCUCUCUUUUGUGGUAUUUCUGGAUCCUUACUAAGGCAGUGAUGAUAUACACCUUCUCUCAAAGUAUGUAGUAUUUGUGGUAUGAGGCAUAGUGAUAUUGCCUUCUCUCUCACCCUACUCUAAUAAGGUUUGAUAUGUGGAGCUCAUAGGUGGGAGACAGCUAAUACAUACUUACAAGACAUUUAUUGCAUAGUCAAACCAUGGAUCCAGAGAAACAAGUCAAUAAGUCAAAUCAAGAUGUGCAUGUGUGGCGGAUGAAUGGUGUAUGGUGAUGAUGGUGAUAAUGGUGAAAAUAAUGGUGAAAGUCUAAUUCUACUUUUGCUCUUUUGAGGGAAUACAUACCUUUCUUGCACUUUGAAGGUUUUUGAGAGGAAUGAGAUGCUCUAUAUUUUCUUUUUGUUUUCUCUCAGGUGGGUAUCUUGUACCCCUAAUUCUACUGUCGGACACUUGUCCAUUUUUACCUCUCGUCUCAAUUUUUUUUUCUUUCGAGGUUCCAUGCACUUGCCCCUUUUUAUUUCCUCGUAUUUUUCUUCUUUUUUUUCAGAGCACUCACCCUCCUGGAAUAAUGUAGCAAGUGGUAGUAACCAAAAUAGCUCGAGCAUUUAUUUCACAGGGAAAAAUAGGAAUGGGAUAAUGUUUUUGGCUAUUCUCUCCCGGAUAGGAGUAGAAUAAUUCUGGGUGAAUCUGGAGAUGGAAAUGAGUGGAUGUAUGUGGAUGCGUACUCCGGAGUAGAAGCAGCAUGUAUGAGUGAACGUGCAAGUGAAUCUUGAUUUUAACUGCAUGACAAGCUCCUAAGGGUCUACACAGCUUGACCACACUCAAUACUCAUAAGCAGUAAAAAGUAAAUGUAUGGUUCAUAGUUUAAUAAGCAUGUAUAUAUGGCGGUGGUAGGAUUUUAAACUUUCAUCAUAUAGGAACUCAUCAUGCAACAUUUUAAAUAUUUUCAAAGAUAAAAUUUCUCUAGAAUUCUAGCAUCUCUAGGAACAGAUAAACAGCAGCUCAACCUUCCCAUAUCAUAUCCGUUAACGACUAAGACUUUAGAUCAAGUACUCUUCCCACAAGUUUAAGUUUAGAGCAAAUCUUAAUUCAUAACAGUCAUGCCUAAACUUGAGAGAGAUUUCAAUUUUGAGAACUAGUCAUGGCAGAGCAACUAUUCAUCAUUUCCAUGUGAGAGCUUAUCAUGAGGGUUCAUAGCAAACUUUAUUUAUUUAUUUAUUUAGCAAACUAAGAAAAGAUAUAUAUAUAAGCAUAAAAUCUUUAUUUGGGUUUUUAUGAUUAUGCAUCUUUUUAUUAUUUUAACAAAGUAUAAGUAUAAACGUAGAUAGAAAUACUUAGCUGGAUAAAUGGGGGUGCUCUCCCCCAAGCUGGAUUUUGACGUAAUUUCUUUUGAUGUAGCUAGCAGGUGGCGGAGGUGUAUUUGAAUGUCGGCAGCACCCUGACAGCGAUUAGAAUGUCCUCCGUCUGCUAGUCUUCUUUGAUCCUUGAAUUCUGUGGAGCUCAAAUAGACAACAAAGCUUUGUGGAACUGGUUAAGUGUUAGCAUAAAAUCUCUUUGCCUUUAUCAUAUUGAUCUUCCUCCAAUAAAUAUUACUCUCUUUGGUAGGAUCAUAAAUUUAUGUUUAUAUUUUCAUUUCUAUAGGACAAGAAUAUAUUUAUUUUAUUUUUACGCCACCACAGUGAAUGUACUUAUGGGUUUCAUUCCACGAGCAUACUCACAUGGGGCUUAGUAUUUUUUAACAUUUUUUUAUUUUCUUUUCAAGAUAGCAUGAUUAACUAAUAAGCUAUUUAAGGAAAGUAAAUAAUUAAAGGGAAAAGGGAAUGCAGAAAGGAUAAACCGAAUUUACCUUUCGGCGAGGAUUCAAUGUUUUAAGUCUUCUGAACAAGACUUCUCACCGUGUUCAUUCUUCAGGUGCGUCAUUUGAUUCAGGUGUGGACCUUGACGUCUGCACCUCUUAAUACGGUGUCACCCAUGUUCUUUGUUUGCCCCGUAGUUCGAAGUGCGGUGUUGGCAGUAUCUUGCUCAGUGUGUUUGUGCUCGUAGUGUACCUGGUCAUAGAGACAAGGCAGAGAUCAAGUGCAUGGGCCCUGUUGGUGGAAAACACCAACAGAACCAAAAGUGUAUUUGUUCUUCUCUAACCUCAAGCAUGGUGAGCAAGACAAAGUUGAUGAAUGAUAAGUUCAUGACUGUAGCAUUUAAAACAUUUGCCGGAUCAGAUCGCUCAACGUAAUGGGAAGACAAUCUAUCUAUAUAUAUGUCUUUUUCUUUAUAUCUUCUCAAAGAUUAAAUGUGCAAGAUUUUAGCUCAUAUGACUAGGAGUGUGGGGAUCAAAGAUUAAGGGACUAAACAUGCUGAAUCAGUGGGGUUGGUUAAUUUGGAGUUAUAAAUCAUACGUGUUUGUCUCUUUUAUUCAUAUGAACGCCAGAACCAAGGAGAAGCUUAUAAAAGUGAUAGUCAAGUACCUUAAGGUGUUACCUUAAUUGAAGAGUGAUGGUACAGUCUCACCUUGUGGAAGCUUUCCUUUCUUAGUGGUUGUGCAUCGUGUUUGUAGCACCCUCCAUAGAUCAUCUCUUAUGAGCUACGUCUUCCUUGUGUAAAUUGUUAAACUUCAUGUGUCCUCUCUCUUUGUCUCUGAUGUGAGUUUAUCUCAGGACUUCCCAAGUCGAUAUUGAAAGUUUUCCUGCAGGGGUUAGUCCAAUAAAAUAUCCAAUAUCUACUAUAGCAUACUAUCGGCUCAAAAAUCAACCUAGACACCAUGUCUAAUUUGAUUUAGGAGGGCAUUUUAACCUAAGCACCAUGCUUAAUUUAAAAUCCCUUGGAAGUAAGAUCGUCAUUCCUAAACUAAGCACCAUGCUUACUUAAGAGAUAAAUGAAACUCAGAGAUUCCUUGUAUGACUCUCUCUAGUCUCUCUUUUGUGGUAUUUCUAGAUCCUUACCAAGGCAGUAAAGGUGUAUGCCUUCUCUCAAAGUAUGUGGUAUUUUUGGUAUGAGGCAUAGUAACAUUGCCUUCUCUCUCACCCUACUCUAAUAAGGCUUUUGAUAUCUGGAGCUCAUAGGUGGGAGAUAGCUAAUACAUACUUACAAGACAUUUAUUGCAUAGUCAAACCAUGGAUCCAGAGAAACAAGUCAAUAAGUCAAAUCAAGAUGUGCAUGUGUUGCGAAUGAAUGGUGUAUGGUGAUGAUGGUGAUAACAAUGGUGAAAGUCUAAUUCUACUUUUGCUCUUUUGAGGGGAUACAUACCUUCCUUGCUCUUUUGAAACUUUUGGAAAGAAUGAGAUGCUCUGUAUUUUCUUUUUCUUUCCUCUCAGGUGGGUAUCUUGUACCCCUAAUUCUACUGUCGGACACUUGUCCAUAUUUACCUCUCGUCUCACUUUUUCUUUUCUUUCGAGGUUCCAGGCACUUGCCCCUUUUUAUUUCCUCAUAUACUCUUUUUUUCUCCUUUUUUUCUUUUUUUAGAGCACUCAUCUCAUGAGAUAAUAUAGCAAGUGGUAGUGACAAGAUAACUUGAGAAUUUAUUUCACAGGGGAAAACAGGAAUAGGAGAAUGUUUUUGGCUAUUCUCUCCCGGAUUAGGAGUAGAAUAUUUUUUGGGUGGUUCUGGAGAUGGGAAUGGAUGGAUAUAUGUGAAUGCAUACUUCCGGAGUAGAAGCAGCAUGUGUGAGUGAACAUGCAAGUGAAUCUUGAUUUAACCACAUGACAAGCUCCUAAAGGUCAACACAGCUUGACCACACUCAAUGCUCAUAAGCAGUAAAAAGUAAAUGUGUGGCUCAAAGCAUGUAUAUAUGGCUGUGGUACGAAUUUAAACUCUCAUCAUACAGGAACUCAUCAUGCAACAUUUUAAAGAUUUUCAAAGAUAAAAUUCUCCAGAAUUCUAGCAUCUCUAGGAACAGAUAAACAGCAGCUCAACCUUCCCAUAUCAUAUCCGUUAACGACUUAGAUUUUAGAUCAAGUACUCUCCCCACAAGUUUAGGUUUAGAGCAAAACUUAACUAAUAACCGUCAGGCCUAAACUUGAGAGAGAUUUCAAUUUUGAGAACUAGUCAUGGCAGAGCAACUACUCAUCAUUUCCAUGUGAGAGCUUAUCAUGAGGGUUCAUAGCAAACUUUAUUUAUUUAUUUAUUUAGCAAACUAAGCAAAGAUAUAUAUAUAAGCACAAAAUCUUUAUUUGGGCUUUUAUGAUUAUGCAUCUUUUUAUUAUUUGAGUAAAGUAUAAACAUGAGUAGAACACUUAGUUGGAUAAAUGGGGGUGCUCUCCCCCAAGCUAGAUCUUGACAUAAUUCCUUUUGAUGUAGCUAGCAGGUGGCAGAGGUGUAUUUGAAUGUCAGCAGCACACUGACAGCAACUAGGAUGUCCUCCGUCUGCUAGUCUUCUUUGAUCCUUGAAUUCUGUGGAGCUCAAAUAGACAACAAAGCUCUUGGCAAGGCGUUCGGUGUUUUUUAAGUCCUCCGAACGGGACUCUCCGUUUUCUCAGUCGUCCUGGGAUUCGCUGGAUGGCGUAGUCGGUGGUUCCUGUGACGCCUGCUCUUCGUGUAUAACUAUCUUCUCUCUCCACACCUGACUCGGUGCUACGGUCUCCUUAGGACAGUUCUGUUCAAGCUGUAUAUCUUCAGACCUUACAACUUCUCCAUCAUAGUCUACCCAUCUAUCCUUGAUGAUUUUGCCUCCUCUGGAUGCGGUUGCGUUGUCUUCUUCUUGUCCUGACCUGCUUAGAGUCUUCAACUAUAUAGUUAGGGUCAGUAAAAUAGUGGCGUACCUUCUCAGAGGGGAAGUGCAUGUGGACUUCUUCGGUUCCAAUGUAGAUGAUUGCUUUAACGGUGCUGAGGAACGAUCUCCUAAGUAUGAUGGGUGGAUCGUUCUCGUCUUCUCCCAUGUCAAUAACCUUCAACCUUUCGGAAUGUCUGAUAUGCCAUCUGGAGCUGAAUGUAUGUCGGUUUUAGGGGCAUGGUUCUGAAUAGGAGCUGAUAGGUGACUGGGUUGUCCUUUUUGGUUAGGAAUGGUGACUUAAGUCGACGAUCUUGACCUCCUUGAACUGCAGUGACCAUCUUAGCUGACUCGGUACACAUUUGCUUGUUCUUGUUCCUCCUGUUGGUCCUCUUCCUUGGUUCAUGUCAGGAUUGCUCUGAGAUUUGUGUAGUCUUGCUCGUGAAGGAAAACGUCUCCUUCCUCCCUUUGAUGUAGAAACUGAUCUUGGCAGCACU
rnacentral:lncRNA from 1 species